AUUUUUCUAGGUGCUCUCUCGUUUUUACUUACUUGUCAUUUGCCCAAGUUCUUCUCUUAUCCUAGGCCGCGUUGUGACAUUUGCAGCGGUACUACCGCCAGGGGUAGCGGUACUGCCGCCAGGACCCCAGCGGUACUACCGCCAGGGGUAGCGGUACUACCGCCAGGACCCCAGCGGUACUACCGCUAGGUAUGGCGGUACUACCGCCAGGAUUCCCAUCUAACACGACCGGCUAGGAAAUUUUUAGGGUUGUCUCACGGGGGAGCGGUACUGCCGCCAGGGGGAGUAGUACUACCGCUGCAUCCAGCGGUACUACCGCCAGGCAGCGGUACUACCGCUAGGUCCUCAACGGUACUACCGCUGGCCCGUACCCCUUGGGCUAUAUAAAGGAGGGGGAGCCCGUUUUUCUCAGCCACUUUCUUCUUUCUCGCGGCUCCUCCCUCCCCUAGCCCGAAAUCCCCCUGGUUUGAUCUCGUUUCGUGGAGCUCCUUCUCUCCGUUGGAUUGGAAGGGUUGCUCCACCUCUCCUUCCUCCUCCAAGGGCCAUGAAUCCCGGUAAAGCUCCUCCCCUUCUUCUAUUUGGUUGAUGUUCUUGUUCUAGGGUUAGGAGCAUUGGGGGAUUGGAUCCAUGUCUUUGAUCUUGUGCCUUGUUCUUGGAUGGCAUGAAGGAGAUAUUUGAGGGGAGUGUAGGUUCUAUGAAUCGUUGCUGAUUAUUUUUGCCAUGCCCUAGGAUUUACUUGUUUUAGAUCUAGCACUUGAACUAUGUUUGGAUUAGAUCUAAAACUUGCUCUCUCUUGCCUAGGCAUGUACUUAUUUCGGUGAUACCUGUGAUCCUCGUGUGAGUAGGGCUGGGGUGGAGUUCUUAGUGUUCAUAUACAGCCCAUGCCCCUCGUAAAAAUCGUGUAGCCCUAUGCAUGAGGUCUAUUUUUAUCUGUCAGAUCUGAAAGUCAAACCCCAACGGUACUACCGCUAGGACCCCCAGCGGUACUACCGCCAGGGGUAGCGGUACUACCGCUAGGACCCCUAGCGGUACUACCGCCAGGGGUAGCGGUACUACCGCUAGGCCCCAGCGGUACUACCGCCAGGGGUAGCGGUACUACCGCCAGGAGGAUUCAAUGUGCAUUCUUUUCAUGUGCUUGGCAAUGAGUGUUUAUUUUUCUGCUUUUUCUAGUUCAUUGCCUUGACUCUUUUUGUCGCUUCUUUUCACUGUGUGUUGUGUCACAGGUAGUUCUCGCCGUUCGAACCCCCCAUGGGAGACGCAGUCAAAGCAGUAUCGCAACCAAGAGGCUCCCGAAGGGUCUGCCACCUCAGGUCUGCAACCCAAAAAGUAGUCCUUCAAGAAGUCCGCGCACAAGGAUAAGGGGAUCAAUGUCCGAACAAUGCCCCCCAAGGACUUUCUGCAGUUUCGCACUCAGAACCAUUAUCUCAAAGAGAGGGCUGUGAUCAAGAAUGUUGACCAUGUUUGGGCAAAGGAUCAGUGCAGGAUCUACCGUGAUAUUGUCGCGCAGUUCAAAAAGAACUAUGUCCCCGUUCGGUGGAUUGACCUAGCUCAUCUUCAGCGGCACCUGGACUAUUUUGGUGAUGCCCUCUCUCUGAUUGACAAACUGGGCAUCAAGGACAUCAUCACCUUCAAGACAGAUUUUGACCCCACUGUUGUUGCUCAGUUCUAUGUCACGGUCCACUUCUCUCCUGAUGAAGAGCGCUCUAUGGUGUGGAUGACAGGGACUCAGAAGAUGACCGGUACCUGGCGUGAGUUCAUGCAAUUCCUCAAGGUUGACUUCCAGGGAGCUGACACUCCACUUGGGUUGCAUCCUCAUGCUGCAGCCCCCACCGAUAGGCCCCCCGCAAAGGACAGAUUGCAGAAACUCUAUGUGAGGAAGGGUGUGCUCCCCAAACAUCUGGACAUCAUGCAUAGGAUCCUUCGCAACACCCUCUUCCCUCGCAUUGGUAAAUUUGAUGAGGUUCAUGGCUCUUUGGUUGAGAUGUUGUUGCUUUGUGAGGAGACUAUGACUGUGGAGUCUGCCCCUCUUGAUAUCUCUGAUGUGAUGUUCACGGAGCUCUGGAACUGCAUCAUCAUGCGUAAGGUUCCCAUCUACGGGCCCUAUCUGUUUGCUUAUAUUUGUCAGAAGUGGCAAGAAACUUUUCUAGGGGAGGUGCUCUUCGCUCAGUCUGACUACAUUCGGCACGACCCGAUCAAGCUUCGCGUCAAGGAGAAAUGGGCCAACCCAUCAACUUCCUCUCAGCACAUGGAUACUGACACACAGACUGCUGCUGACAGAGGAACCGCCUCUCAAUCCCGCUCUUCUGCCAUGCCAUCUUGGGCCAUCAAACUGCACGAUAAGAUGAAGACUCUAUUCUGUAUGCAGGCUAAGGGUCAGUACCAGACGCACGUGGCUCAAAAGGAGAGCCGCCAAAGGCACAAGCGCGUUUUCAGGACUCUUGAUGUGGACAUCUCCAGCGGAUCAGAGGACGACAUCACUCCAGAGGCUACUUGGAUGCAGGAUCAAGGUUACCAGUGGUCUGGCGAUGAGGAGGACGAGGAGGAGCAGGAUGAUCAGGAGGGUACCGACGAGUCUGGCGAUGCUGAGGAUGAGGAGUAACUACCUGUGGCGUUAGGUGUGCCCCUUUUUGGUGUCUUGUGCCAAAGGGGGAGGGAGUCUAGGAGCUGGAUUUGCUUUCAUAGUCGAACUUUGCUUUGCUUUGCAUUCUUUCGUGGUUUGCUUCGAACUUGAUUUGCUUCUAGUUUGCUAUCGUUUGUGAGACAUGAAUUUAUGUGAGAUUUAUUUCCAUCAUAUGCUGUGAGUCAUAUGCCCCGUAUUUUCAUAUAUCUCUAUCUUUUUGUUCUCAUAUUAUUCUCUGUGCAAAUACGGUAUUGUCAUCAAUCCACCAAAAAGGGGGAGAUUGUUGGGGCAUAGUUUAUGCCUAAGUUAUUUUGGUGAUUGAUGACAGUACCGUAAAGGACUAACCGUGUGUGUUAAGGUUUCAGAUAACACACGUCAAUGGCACAAGACGACUCGUCUCCUCAUUCAUGGAACGGAAGCACGACGCUCUCUACGAUUCUCUUUAUUUGAGUCAUAGGAAAGCCGUACUAUUAAGAGGGGAUCCGUAGUGGAAAGGUUUGGGUGGAAUCUAUCUUUGCACGCGCACACUUCACAUAUUCUCCCUUACCUUCAUCUUUGGAGCGGCCCCCGCCACUGUGUUUCUUUCCUCCUUGCAAAUUGGUCCCCAGCGGUAGUACCGCUGGAAUGCUAGCGGUAGUACCGCUGGCUGGCGGUAGUACCGCUGGAGUUCCAGCGGUAGUACCGCUGCAUCCAGCGGUAGUACCGCCCCUGGUCAGUGGUAGUACCGCUGCAGCGAGCGGUACUACCGCUGGAGCUCGGGCAGAGAGUGGGAAAACGGUCUGAUUUCCCCCCCACUAUAUAAAGGGUUCUUCUAGCUGUGGAACCCUAUCUCUUACCUCUCUAAGCUCCAUUGUUGCGCCCCAAGCUCAAAAGUGCCCGAUCUCUCUCCCUAGCCAAUCAAACUUGUUGAUUCUUUAGGGAUUGGUUGAGAAGGCCUAGAUCCACACUUCCACCAAGAGAAAAGUUGAUUCCCCCACCAAUCCCUUGCGGAUCUUGUUACUCUUGGGUGUUUGAGCAUCCUAGGCGGUUGAGGUCACCUCGAAGCCAUAUUCCAUUGUGGUGAAGCUUCGUGGUUUAGUUGGGAGCCUCCAAGCUUUGUGUGGAGUUGCCCCAACCUUGUUUGUAAAGGUUCGGUCGCCGCCUUCAAGGGCACCUAUAGUGGAAUCACGGUACCUUGCAUCGUGCGAGGGCGUGAGGAGAAUACGGUGGCCUUAGUGGCUUUUUGGGGAGCAUUGUGCCUCCACACCGCUCCAAAGGAGACGUACUUCUUGUCAAAGGGAAGGAACUUCGGUAACACAUCCUCGUCUCCAUCGGUUCCACUUGUGGUUAUCUCUAUCCUUUACUUUGUAUUUGCUUAGGCUUGUGACUAUAUCUUACUUGUCUUAAUAGCUCUCGGUGUUAGCUUCUUUAGGGUUCACCUCAUUGUCGUAUUAUUUGUGAACCCGUAUGUUGUUUACCUUAACUUGCUAAGAUUAAUUAAAAAGUGGUCGUUGUCUAUUNGGUUUGGGUGGAAUCUAUCUUUGCACGCGCACACUUCACAUAUUCUCCCUUACCUUCAUCUUUGGAGCGGCCCCCGCCACUGUGUUUCUUUCCUCCUUGCAAAUUGGUCCCCAGCGGUAGUACCGCUGGAAUGCUAGCGGUAGUACCGCUGGCUGGCGGUAGUACCGCUGGAGUUCCAGCGGUAGUACCGCUGCAUCCAGCGGUAGUACCGCCCCUGGUCAGUGGUAGUACCGCUGCAGCGAGCGGUACUACCGCUGGAGCUCGGGCAGAGAGUGGGAAAACGGUCUGAUUUCCCCCCCACUAUAUAAAGGGUUCUUCUAGCUGUGGAACCCUAUCUCUUACCUCUCUAAGCUCCAUUGUUGCGCCCCAAGCUCAAAAGUGCCCGAUCUCUCUCCCUAGCCAAUCAAACUUGUUGAUUCUUUAGGGAUUGGUUGAGAAGGCCUAGAUCCACACUUCCACCAAGAGAAAAGUUGAUUCCCCCACCAAUCCCUUGCGGAUCUUGUUACUCUUGGGUGUUUGAGCAUCCUAGGCGGUUGAGGUCACCUCGAAGCCAUAUUCCAUUGUGGUGAAGCUUCGUGGUUUAGUUGGGAGCCUCCAAGCUUUGUGUGGAGUUGCCCCAACCUUGUUUGUAAAGGUUCGGUCGCCGCCUUCAAGGGCACCUAUAGUGGAAUCACGGUACCUUGCAUCGUGCGAGGGCGUGAGGAGAAUACGGUGGCCUUAGUGGCUUUUUGGGGAGCAUUGUGCCUCCACACCGCUCCAAGGGAGACCUACUUCAUGUCAAAGGGAAGGAACUUCGGUAACACAUCCACGUCUCCAUCGGUUCCACUUGUGGUUAUCUCUAUUCUUUACUUUGUAUUUCCUUACGCUUGUGACUAUAUCUUACUUGUCUUAAUAGCUCUCGGUGUUAGCUUCUUUAGGGUUCACCUCAUUGUCGUAUUAUUUGUGAACCCGUAUGUUGUUUACCUUAACUUGCUAAGAUUAAUUAAAAAGUGGUCGUUGUCUAUUCACCCCCCCCUCUAGCCAACCAUAUCGAUCCUUUCAAACGGCAUGGGUGAGAAGAAUCAGACCAAAAUACCCAUUAGUGUUCUUCGAUAUUUGCCAAUCGUACCAAGACUUCAACGUCUUUUCAUGGUCGAAGAGACGGGCAGACAGAUGACAUGGCACAAAUUAGGCAAAAGAACCGAACUAGAUGCGGAUGGGAACAAGAUGCUGGUACACACUUCAGAUGGUUUUGCGUGGAGGCACUUCGAUGCAUUACAUAAGGAUAAAUCGAAAGAUCCAAGGCAACGUAGAGUUGCCAUCAGCACGGAUGGGUUCAAUGUGUAUGGUAUGGCGGCAGCACAAUACAGUUGUUGGCCUGUAUUUGUCAUUCCACUAAAUUUGCCACUCGGAGAGAUUAUGAAAAGAAAGAACAUUUUCCUGACGUUGAUAAUUCCAGGGCCCAACUAUCCGGGGAAGAAUAUGAAUGUGUACAUGCAGCUGCUUAAGGAUGAGUUGUAAGAAGCCUGGGAUAAUGGGAUCAAGACCUACGAUGCGGCUACCAAAACAAAUUUCAAAAUGCAUGUCUGGUAGAUGUACUCGACGCAUGAUUAUCCGGCGUUUGCGCUAUUCGCUGGCUGGUGUGUGCAUGGAAGGUUCCCGUGCACCACAUGCAAGGCAGCUCUUCAGUUCCGUUGGCUGCAGGCUGGUCGCAAGUAUUCUUGCUUCGACAUGCAUAGACAAUUCCUGGAUCCUGACCAUAAGUUCAGAAAAGACAAGAAGAAUUUCAUCAAAGGUAGAGUUGUCAAAAACACUGCACCAGCUGCGUUGACAGGCCAACAGACCCUUGAUCAGUUAAACGCUCUCGAGCCUGAUCCUUUGCGUCCAGGAUACUUCAAAGGGUAUAAUACGGAAGACGCCUGGACUCACAAGUCAUGCUUAUGGGAUCUGCCUUACUUCAAAGACCUCCUUUGCCCACACAACAUUGACGUGAUGCACACUGAAAAUAAUAUUGCGGAGGCCAUUUUUGGUACAUUGUUCGGCAUAGAGGGGAAGUCAAAAGAUAAUCCUAAGUCUAGAAUCGACCUGGAGGCUCUAUGUGAUAGACCGUUGCAAAACUUGCGACAACGGAAAGGAAAGCAAAGCAUAGCGCAAAGGCAUGGUUCAAUCUUGAAAGGCCAGCUAUGAGGGAAAUGCUAUUGUGGGUGAAAAUGCGGUUGAUGUUCCCCAAUGGGUAUGCUCCGAAUCUAAAGAGGGGAGCGAGUCUUGAGAAACUGAAAAUAUUUGGGCUCAAGAGUCAUGAUUGGCACAUAUGGAUUGAGCGGGUAAUGCCGGUGAUGUUGCGUGGCUUUAUCCCUGAGGAUGAAGGGCUAGUACUGGCAGAGCUGAGCUAUUUCUUCCGUUCUCUUUGUGCGAAAGAACUAUCGCCUGGCGUGCUAGAUGAAAUGGAAGAGUUGGCGCCGGAGUUGAUCUGCAAAUUAGAAAAGAUCUUUCCACCGGGCUUCUUUAAUCUAAUGCAACAUUCGAUUUUGCAUAUCCCGACCGAGGCAAGAAUGGGGGGCUCGUUCAAAAUCGAUGGUGCUACUCAACUGAGAGGAUGUAGAAGACGCUUUGAGCUAAGUGUAAAAAUAAACGUAGAAUUGAAGCAUCGAUGACCGAGGCAUUCAUUACUGAGGAGGCGGCAAACUUCGUGACAGCACACUACGAAGCCAAAAAUCAUCAUUUGCAUAACCCGAAGCCUCGGUACAAUGAUGGCGAUCGAAAAAAAGUUCGAUCCAACCUCAGCGUAUUCAAAGGUAAGCUCGCACAAUCCGGUGCUUCGAAAGGGAAAUCGUUGGAUGCCGAAGAAUGGCGGACCAUUUCAUUGUAUAUCUUCACCAACCUAACAGAAGUGCGGCCGUACAUCGAGUAAGUUCUCGGUAAUUUAUUGUUCUGCAACUUCUAAUUGCUUUGAACUACUCUUAUUCCCGGAUAUUUGAUAUAGUCGAUACGUCACUGAAUUCUCGGAUGGAGCGGUCAUCGAAAAGGAUUCCGUCGAAGAGUAUGAGCUUCUCGCAAAGCAUGGAGGCGACUAUCCCGGUUUCAUCUCUUGGUUCAAACAAAGGGUAAUUAAUUACCAUUAAGGGCCCAUUUGAUUUCUUGGUCUAAUUUGCGGCUAAUGCAUCCAUUCUUUCGUAUUAAACUUGUAGGCUGAUGCAGAGUCUAUGGACGCCGAGUUGAGACAAGUCGCUAAUGGUUUUGACUAUAAGGUCCGUUCAUUUGAUAAAUACAACAUCCAUGGGUAUCAUUUUCAUACCUUUGGCAAAGAGCUAUCUAUGCCCGACCAAUAGUCUACAAAUUGUUCUGUCUCUGCUAUCGGCGAAGGAGACACCGAGUAUUAUGGAAGAGUUGAAGCAAUUUAUGAACUUCUAUUCUAUGGUGAAAACCCAUCGACCGUCGUAGUCUUCAAAUGAUAUUGGUUUGAGCCGAGGGAGACUAGAAGGACUCAUGAACAUAUAGGACUAGUCGAAAUCAACCAAAACACCCACUUAGAUGUUCCCGAUGUCUAUAUUACGGCUCAACAGGCGACACAAGUUUUCUAUCUACCGUGGGUCUGCCAAACUGAUCCAAAUCUCAAUGGUUGGGAUGUCGUUUAUGAAGUGCCACCACAUUUUAGACCACCUACCCUCAAUGAAGAGGAUUACGAACCUCACAUUAACCCAGACACAUAUGAAGGAGAAUUCGCCCUAUAGUGANNNNNNNNNNNNNNNNNNNNNNNNNNNNNNNNNNNNNNNNNNNNNNNNNNNNNNNNNNNNNNNNNNNNNNNNNNNNNNNNNNNNNNNNNNNNNNNNNNNNUCUUGUUUUCUUGUUUUGUGUCCAUGCAAGUGGGAGACUGUUGGAAAUAUGCCCUAGAGGCAAUAAUAAAAUGGUUAUUAUCAUAUCUCCUUGUUCAUGAUAAUCGUCUAUUGUUCAUGCUAUAAUUGUAUUAACAGGAAACAGUAAUACAUGUGUGAAUAUAUAGAUCACAAUGUGUCCCUAGCAAGCCUCUAGUUGGCUAGCUCAUUAGUCAAUAGAUGAUCAUGGUUUCCUGGUCAUGGGCAUUAGAUGUCAUUGAUAACGGGAUCACAUCAUUGGGAGAAUGAUGUGAUGGACAAGACCCAAUCCUAAGCCUAGCACUAGAUCGUAUUGUUCAUAUGCUAAUGCUUUUCUAAUGUCAAGUAUCUUUUCCUUCGACCGUGAGAUUGUGCAACUCCCGGAUACCGUAGGAGUGCUUUGGGUGUAUCAAACGUCACAUCGUAACUGGGUGACUAUAAAGGUGCACUACGGGUACCUCCGAAAGUGUCUGUUGGGUUGGCAUGAAUCGAGAUCNNNNNNNNNNNNNNNNNNNNNNNNNNNNNNNNNNNNNNNNNNNNNNNNNNNNNNNNNNNNNNNNNNNNNNNNNNNNNNNNNNNNNNNNNNNNNNNNNNNNACCUAACAUCAUGCAUUUGUUGGAAGAUUCUCCUAUAAGCAACUACUUGUAUUCCCACCUAAGAAUUCCUGAAAUAUCCGGUCAUGCAAUCUGGUACACGGAUACAAGGAGUAAUAUCACACAACUCCUAUACUAACCCGUCACCUGUAUCACAUUCGUCAACACACGACCAGAAUCUCGGACCUUCAUCUACAACAGACCCUCGUGAUUACAACGAUACAAAGUAUGGCAGUACUCCCGAACAAUCUUCACCAGUACUGGGGACAUCGGGGUUAUCUCGCCACUACUAGUAUUGAAGCAAUUAGGAACAUCCUUCGUCCUGAGAUAUUAAGAAAUCUGAAUGAUAACGAUGUGCUCGAGAAUCCCUUGGAGCUCAACUCCCCUAAAACUCAAAGCAGAUAGGAAGCACCAAGACAGAACUCCGUCACAUCGGCAUCAUAUAGAUUCCAAAAAUAUCCGCGUGAUCCUAAAAAAAAUUGAGUGAGAAGAGGAGUAGAAUUAAAUUAUUACGUCAAGAUUCCUCACCAGAGCAUAGAAGAGGAGAAAAAAGAAUCCUACUCUCCGAUAUAUAACUAGACUCAAAGCAGUUUUUUCACUAGACUCGACUCGGCCAAGUUCGAUCAAUCAAGGGGGCUCCAAGGUCAGUACUGCUCUGAUACCAACUUGUCACGCCCAAGAUGUGACUCUAUCCUCAAUUUGCACGAGGGCCUCAUCAGGGAUAGAAGCGCAUCUCGUCGUGUCGCAAGAAUGGAUAUCGUUACAAGUACAUGUACUGAAAAGAUGAGAUAUAUAUUUAGAAUUGGCUAACACUCGCCACAAGCUACAUUAGAGUCACAACAGUACAGUACAUAUUCAUCAAGAGUAAGAACAGGGUCCGACUAUGGACGAAAAACAAACAACAAAAGAAGAACGACGUCCAUCCUUGCUAUCCCAGGAUGCCGGCCUGGAACCCAUCCUAGAUCGAUGAAGAAGAAGAAGAAGAAGAAGCAACUCCAAAUGAACAAUCAACGCGCUCGCGUCAAGUAACCUUUACAUGUACCUGCAACUAGUGUUGUAGUAAUCUGUGAGCCACAGGGGACUCAGCAAUCUCAUUUCCAAAGGUAUCAAGACUAGCAAAGCUUAAUGGGUGAGGUAUGGUUAAGUGGUGAGGUUGCAGCAGCGGCUAAGCAUAUAUUUGGUGGCUAAACUUACGAGUACAAGAAAUAAGAGGGGGAAGAUCUAUGCAUAACAGACGUGAACUAACGAUGAUCAAAUGAAUGAUCCUGAACACCUACCUACGUCAGACAAAACCCCACAGUGUCCUCGAUCGGAGAAAGAACUCACGAAAGAGACAGUCACGGUUAUGCACACAGUUGACAUAUUUUAAUUAAGUUAACUUCAAGUUAUCUAGAACCAGUGUUAAACAAAUUCCACCACAUAACCGCGGGCACGUCUUUCCGAAAAGAUUUAACCCUACAGGGGUGCUCCAACUAGUCCAUCACAAAUUACCACAAGCCGCAUAGAAAUCCUCAAUCACGAAGCUCGCGAUCUCGUCGGAUUCCCUACUGGAAAACCUCAACUCUGAGAUUACCCAAAGCAUCACCGGAAUCCCGAUGCACAAGAUAUUUCGUCAAAGGUAAAACUAAUCCAGCAAGGCCGCCCCACGUGUCGACGAUCCCGAUAGGAGUCGCGUACCUCGUCCUCAGGACACGAUGGAUGGGUCACACUAGGAGAUACCAAACCUCGGGUUGCCCCGCGGUGGCCCCGUAGUCUGCCAAUUUGGACCAACACUUAUGAGGAGCACUGGCCCGGGGGUUGAUUAAAUUAGUCCGCGGGUGCCGGCGGGUCCCUAUGCAUUAUUAUUAGGUUAUUAGGCAAAUGUAGUACCAAAGUUGGGGCUCGCCAGACCAGUCUUAAUCUAAAACGAAUUAUCAAGGGGGUCCCCAUAACAACCCCGAUCGUGUUAGGAGCGCUCAUUUAUGGAACAUAACACCGGUAGCCGAAAACUAAGGGGGCAAAGGUGGAACAAAACACCAGGCUAGAAAGGCCGAGCCUUCCACCUUUUACCAAGUAUAUAGGUGCAUUAAAUUAAAUAGCAUUUAAUAGGGUGAUAUAACAAGGAACCCAUGUUUUCACAUGGAAGCAUCUGCACCUGCAACUAGCAACGCUAUCAACGGGGUUAAGCAAGCAGUAACAUAGCCAAUCAGUGGUUUGCUAGGUUGAACAGGUUGAAGGUUUCAUGGCAUUGUUGGGAGGCUGAUAUUUAACAUGUGGUAGGCAACGAGGCAUAAUCGAUAGAAAUGAUAAAACUAGCAUGGCAAUGAUAGUAAUGGUAUCUGGGGAAAUGAUCAUCUUGCAUGAGAUCCCGCUGAGAAGAAGAACGACUCCGUGAAGCAGACGAACCGACGUAGAUGAACGGGUCCUCACAAUCCGACACGCUUGCGGAACUCUAUCGAGGCAAAGCAAACCGGAAACACAAGUCAACACAAGAUAUUCACCACAUGAUGCGCAACACAUAUGAUGCAUGAACAGUUGAAAACAUGCAAGACACGGCAUGCCAAUUCACACACUCAAGCACUACACAUUAAGUGAAGUUCAAUAUGCAACGAGUUGCAUAUUGACGAACUCCACGUUUAUUUAUUUAGUUCUAUGCUGAUUAGAUACACGGCAAUAUUAAAUGUGGUUAAACAUGGAAAGAGGUGAAGCGUAAUUAAACUACCUAUCUAGGCAUUUUAAAUGAGGUCGGAAAUGACAUAUAGCACCUCCGAGACGACCUCACAUGUUAAUUCACAAUUCUGUCCAGAUCUGAACUAACACAUUUAAUUAGUUGUUAAACAGUAAAAAGAAUAGGUUCACGUGAUUCUACGCGUCGAGACAAGCAAUCUACACAUAAAGAACAUCUCCAACGGAGCUACGGUUCGAAAGAUACAAGCAUCGCAAGAUAUGAUGGCAUGAAUGCAAUAUGUGUGCAACGACGGUCACGAGCACUUCAAAACAAACGACCAGCAAGAGAAAAUGAAACUACACGAUAUUCUAAGCAAGUUUCAUAUAGGACACGAUCAAAUCGGAGCUACGGUUCAACAACUACGAGCAAAACAAGAAAUUGCUACAAUCUGCCAAAAUCAGCCACAUAGCAUCUUCUACACCCCACAACUACGAGCUACUCAACUCAAAUAUAUUCAACCAAGGCAUGACACGAAAGAGGGUAAGAAGCACUACAGCAAACAACUAACAACAACUAGCAUGGCAGCAAGGAACACUAGGAAAAGAAGUCACAAAAUGGCUUCUCACACACUAUUUCAGACUUGGUGAAAAUUACACUUCAUGAAAGUGCAGUUUUCGAUCUGAAGCCAUAUUGACAGCAGCUAAAUCAUAAGCUACAGGACUCCAAAUGGUAUGAAAAUUCACAGCAUGCUAGAGACACACAAGGUUUACAACUAACUCCAUUGGACCAACCUCAAAAGAGCUACAUAUCACAAGAUAGAAGCAAAACAAAACAGCAACAAAUUAUAACAGAUUCCAGACUUAGAAAUAUUUCAGCACCUCCAAAUCAGCACUAUUUCUAGCAACUUGAGAGCAAGCAAACCACACCUAAACAUGCAUUUCUAUUGCAACUAAAAAUACCAGGGGCUAGAGUAAACAUCCAAGAACAACUCCCUAGUUGACAACUUAAUCAAACAAAGCACGGAAUAAUUCCUACGAAAAUGACAAGAGGGCAACAUAGCAAAAUAUCGCCGAACUAACUUGCUCAAAAGCUAAAACUAAUUGCACAGAAAAAUCCCAUGGAUUUUUCUACCCCGAAAACAUGUAAAACAAGUGGGGUUGCAACACAAAAAUAUCGCGGCACUUAAAUGCGAGAAAAUAACCUAUACACGGGAAAAUAGACUAGCGGCAAUCCCUACACGCAAAAAUACGAAUGACUACUCUAAAAUACAUGGAAAAAUGGUUCCUAAAACAUGGACAUUUUAUCUAAGGCAUACGAGCAAUCCGGGCACGCACGAAAAAUAAAUACGGGCGCUAUCCUAUUGGAAUAGCACAUUAAUCUAUGCAUUUGGCACGACAAACCACGUCAAACAAACAUGCAAGUUUUAAAUUCGGAUUGUACGCGAAAUUCUACACUAAAACCAUAUAUUACAUGUCUCGAUCCGAUUAAUGGAAAAUAAACUACGGGCAUUCUAAUAUAUCUAUUUAUCUGGAAUUUAUAUUAAUUCGGAAAUAAAUUCCUAAAAGGAAAAAUUACCUACGGGCCUAUCUACUAGGCGCAGCAUAACUAAAAUGCAACUAGGUGAGGAAUAGGAGUGCAGGGUGGAGGAUCUCACCUCGACCACGUGGGUCGGCCUGAGGUGGGCCUUGGGGAGGCCUCGGGUCGGUGGGGAGCAACGGCUUGGGCCGGCUGUGGGGGGAGGCCCAGCAGGGCGAUAGGUGGCGCAGGCGCGGCGGAGGCCCAGGCNNNNNNNNNNNNNNNNNNNNNNNNNNNNNNNNNNNNNNNNNNNNNNNNNNNNNNNNNNNNNNNNNNNNNNNNNNNNNNNNNNNNNNNNNNNNNNNNNNNNUAGCAACGCUAUCAACGGGGUUAAGCAAGCAGUAACAUAGCCAAUCAGUGGUUUGCUAGGUUGAACAGGUUGAAGGUUUCAUGGCAUUGUUGGGAGGCUGAUAUUUAACAUGUGGUAGGCAACGAGGCAUAAUCGAUAGAAAUGAUAAAACUAGCAUGGCAAUGAUAGUAAUGGUAUCUGGGGAAAUGAUCAUCUUGCAUGAGAUCCCGCUGAGAAGAAGAACGACUCCGUGAAGCAGACGAACCGACGUAGAUGAACGGGUCCUCACAAUCCGACACGCUUGCGGAACUCUAUCGAGGCAAAGCAAACCGGAAACACAAGUCAACACAAGAUAUUCACCACAUGAUGCGCAACACAUAUGAUGCAUGAACAGUUGAAAACAUGCAAGACACGGCAUGCCAAUUCACACACUCAAGCACUACACAUUAAGUGAAGUUCAAUAUGCAACGAGUUGCAUAUUGACGAACUCCACGUUUAUUUAUUUAGUUCUAUGCUGAUUAGAUACACGGCAAUAUUAAAUGUGGUUAAACAUGGAAAGAGGUGAAGCGUAAUUAAACUACCUAUCUAGGCAUUUUAAAUGAGGUCGGAAAUGACAUAUAGCACCUCCCAGACGACCUCACAUGUUAAUUAACAAUUCUGUCCCGAUCUCAACUAACACAUUUAAUUAGUUGUUAAACAGAAAAAUCAAUAGGUUCACGUGAUUCUACGCGUCGACACAAGCAAUCUACACAUAAAGAACAUCUCCAACGGAGCUACGGUUCCAAAGAUACAAGCAUCGCAAGAUAUGAUGGCAUGAAUGCAAUAUGUGUGCAACCACGGUCACGAGCACUUCAAAACAGACCACCACCAAGAGAAAAUGAAACUACACGACAUUCGAAGCAAGUUUCAUAUAGGACACGAUCAAAUCGGAGCUACGGUUCAACAACUACGAGCAAAACAAGAAAUACCUACAAUCUGCCAAAAUCAGCCACAUAGCAUCUUCUACACCCCACAACUACGAGCUACUCAACUCAAAUAUAUUCAACCAAGGCAUGACACGAAAGAGGGUAAGAAGCACUACAGCAAACAACUAACAACAACUAGCAUGGCAGCAAGGAACACUAGGAAAAGAAGUCACAAAAUGGCUUCUCACACACUAUUUCAGACUNNNNNNNNNNNNNNNNNNNNNNNNNNNNNNNNNNNNNNNNNNNNNNNNNNNNNNNNNNNNNNNNNNNNNNNNNNNNNNNNNNNNNNNNNNNNNNNNNNNNCCCAGACGACCUCACAUGUUAAUUAACAAUUCUGUCCCGAUCUCAACUAACACAUUUAAUUAGUUGUUAAACAGAAAAAUCAAUAGGUUCACGUGAUUCUACGCGUCGACACAAGCAAUCUACACAUAAAGAACAUCUCCAACGGAGCUACGGUUCCAAAGAUACAAGCAUCGCAAGAUAUGAUGGCAUGAAUGCAAUAUGUGUGCAACCACGGUCACGAGCACUUCAAAACAGACCACCACCAAGAGAAAAUGAAACUACACGACAUUCGAAGCAAGUUUCAUAUAGGACACGAUCAAAUCGGAGCUACGGUUCAACAACUACGAGCAAAACAAGAAAUACCUACAAUCUGCCAAAAUCAGCCACAUAGCAUCUUCUACACCCCACAACUACGAGCUACUCAACUCAAAUAUAUUCAACCAAGGCAUGACACGAAAGAGGGUAAGAAGCACUACAUCAAACAACUAACAAAAACUAGCAUGGCAGCAAGGAACACUAGGAAAAGAAGUCACAAAAUGGCUUCUCACACACUAUUUCAGACUNNNNNNNNNNNNNNNNNNNNNNNNNNNNNNNNNNNNNNNNNNNNNNNNNNNNNNNNNNNNNNNNNNNNNNNNNNNNNNNNNNNNNNNNNNNNNNNNNNNNGCAAUCUGGUACACGGAUACAAGGAGUAAUAUCACACAACUCCUAUACUAACCCGUCACCUGUAUCACAUCCAUCAACACAAGACCAGAAUCUCGGACCUUCGUCUACAACAGGCCCUCAUGAUCACAACGAUACAAAGUAUGGCAGUACUCCCGAACAAUCUGCACCAGUACUGGGGACAUCGGGGUUAUCUCGCCACUACUAGUAUUGAAGCAAUUACGAACAUCCUUCGUCCUGGUAUAUUAAGAAAUCUAAAUGAUAACGAUGUGCUCGAGAAUCCCCUGGAGCUCAACUCCCCUGAAACUCAAAGCACAUAGGAGGCACCAAGAUAGAACUCCGUCACAUUGGCAUCAUAUAGAUUCCAAAAAUAUCCGAGUGAUCCUAAAAAAUUUUGAGUGAGAAGAGGAGUAGAAUUAAAUUAUUACGUCAAGAUUCCUCACCAGAGCAUAGAAGUGGAGAAAAAAGAAUCCUACUCUCCGAUAUAUAACUAGACUCUAAGCAGUUUUUUCACUAGACUCGACUCGGCCAAGUUUGAUCAAUCAAGGGGGCUCCUAGGUCGGUACUGCUCUGAUACCGACUUGUCACGCCCAAGAUGCGACCCUAUCCUCAAUUUGGCACGAGGGCCUCGUUAGGGAUAGAAGCGCAUCUCGUCGUGUCGCAAGAAUGGAUAUCGUUACAAGUACAUGUACUCAAAAGAUGAUAUAUAUAUUUGGAAUUGGCUUACACUUGCCACAAGAAACAUCAGAGUCACAACAGUACAAUACAUAUUCAUCAAGAGUAAGAGCAGGGUCCGACUACGGACGAAAAACAAACGACAAAAGAAGAACGAUGUCCAUCCUUGCUAUCCCAGGCUGCCGGCCUGGAACCCAUCCUAGAUCGAUGAAGAAGAAGAAGAAGUAACUCCAAAUGAACAAUCAACGCGCUCGCGUCAAGUAACCUCUACCUGUACCUGCAACUGUUGUCGUAGUAAUCUGUGAGCCACAGGGGACUCAGCAAUCUCAUUUCCAAAGGUAUCAAGACUAGCAAAGCUUAAUGGGUGAGGUAUGGUUAAGUGGUGAGGUUGCAGCAGCGGCUAAGCAUAUAUUUGGUGGCUAAACUUACGAGUACAAGAAAUAAGAGGGGGAAGAUCUAUGCAUAACAGACGUGAACUAACGAUGAUCAAAUGAAUGAUCCUGAACACCUACCUACGUCAGACAAAACCCCACAGUGUCCUCGAUCGGAGAAAGAACUCACGAAAGAGACAGUCACGGUUAUGCACACAGUUGACAUAUUUUAAUUAAGUUAACUUCAAGUUAUCUAGAACCAGUGUUAAACAAAUUCCACCACAUAACCGCGGGCACGUCUUUCCGAAAAGAUUUAACCCUACAGGGGUGCUCCAACUAGUCCAUCACAAAUUACCACAAGCCGCAUAGAAAUCCUCAAUCACGAAGCUCGCGAUCUCGUCGGAUUCCCUACUGGAAAACCUCAACUCUGAGAUUACCCAAAGCAUCACCGGAAUCCCGAUGCACAAGAUAUUUCGUCAAAGGUAAAACUAAUCCAGCAAGGCCGCCCCACGUGUCGACGAUCCCGAUAGGAGUCGCGUACCUCGUCCUCAGGACACGAUGGAUGGGUCACACUAGGAGAUACCAAACCUCGGGUUGCCCCGCGGUGGCCCCGUAGUCUGCCAAUUUGGACCAACACUUAUGAGGAGCACUGGCCCGGGGGUUGAUUAAAUUAGUCCGCGGGUGCCGGCGGGUCCCUAUGCAUUAUUAUUAGGUUAUUAGGCAAAUGUAGUACCAAAGUUGGGGCUCGCCAGACCAGUCUUAAUCUAAAACGAAUUAUCAAGGGGGUCCCCAUAACAACCCCGAUCGUGUUAGGAGCGCUCAUUUAUGGAACAUAACACCGGUAGCCGAAAACUAAGGGGGCAAAGGUGGAACAAAACACCAGGCUAGAAAGGCCGAGCCUUCCACCUUUUACCAAGUAUAUAGGUGCAUUAAAUUAAAUAGCAUUUAAUAGGGUGAUAUAACAAGGAACCCAUGUUUUCACAUGGAAGCAUCUGAACCUGCAACUAGCAACGCAAUCAACAGGGUUAAGCAAGCAGUAACAUAGUCAAUCAGUGGUUUGCUAGGUUGAAUAGGUUGAAGGUUUCAUGGCAUUGUCGAGAGGCUGAUAUUUAACAUGUGGUAGGCAACGAGACAUAAUCGAUAGAAGCAAUAAAACUAGCAUGGCAAUGAUAGUAAUGGUAUCUGGGGAAAUGGUCAUCUUGCCUGAGAUCCUGCUGAGAAGAAGAACGACUCUGUGAAGCAGACGAACCGACGUAGACGAACAUGUCCUCACAAUCCGACACGCUUGCGGAACUCUAUCGAGGCGAAGCAAACCGGAAACGCAAGUCAACACAAGAUAUUCACCACACGAUGCACAACACAUAUGAUGCAUUAGUAGUUGAAAACAUGCAAGACACGGCAUGACAAUUCACACACUCAAGCACUACACAUUAAGUGAAGUUCAAUAUGCAACGAGUUGCAUAUUGACGAAACUCCACGUUUAUUUAUUUAGUUCUAUCCCGAUUAGAUACACGGAAAUAUUAAAUGUGGUUAAACAUGGCAAGAGGUGAAGCGUAAUUAAACUACCUAUCUAGGCAUUUUAAAUGAGGUCGGAAAUGACAUAUAGCACCUNNNNNNNNNNNNNNNNNNNNNNNNNNNNNNNNNNNNNNNNNNNNNNNNNNNNNNNNNNNNNNNNNNNNNNNNNNNNNNNNNNNNNNNNNNNNNNNNNNNNAGUGGGCAUUAAGAGCUAAAGUGUCUGCGGUCGUCCAUGGGGAUGAUAACACACAAUUUUUUCAUAUGAUAGCCAAUGGCAAACGUAGAAAGAAGAAAAUAUUGCAACUUGAACAGUAUGAGGCUACAAUUAUUGGGCAUGAGAACCUAAAAAUGUAUAUCUCAAACUAUUACAAAAAAAUAUUUGGUACUCCCGAAGUGAACUCUGUAACAUUAGAUGAAACUGCUACAGAGGAUAUACCUCAACUCAAUGACGAUGAGAAUGGGGUCCUUUCAGCUCCGUUUACUGAGAAAGAGGUGUUUGAUGCAAUUAUGCAAAUGAAACAGAACAAAGCCCCUGGACCAGAUGGGUUUCCAAUUGAGUUUUACAAACGCUGCUGGCACAUCAUAAAAGAUGACCUUAUGUCCAUGUUUCAUGAUUUAUUUAACGGGCAGCUCCAUUUAUUUCACUUAAACAUUGGCUCCAUAACUUUACUACCAAAGAAAGAAGGAGCCAUUCGAAUUGAGCAAUUUAGGCCAAUUUGUUUGCUAAAUGUCAGUUUCAAAAUAUUCACAAAGGUUGCAAUGAAUAGAUUGGCACACAUAGCACAUUCGGUUGUUCAAGAAACUCAAACAGCGUUCAUGCCAGGUAGACACAUCCUGGAAGGGGUUGUCGUACUGCAUGAAACGUUACACGAAAUACACUCUAAGAAACUAGAUGGAGUAGUUUUUAAAGUGGAUUUUGAGAAAGCAUAUGACAAAGUGAAAUGGCCUUUUCUACAGCAAGCGAUGCGAAUGAAAGGGUUCAAUGAAGCCUGGAGGAAACAGGUUGAGACCUUUAUCCAAAAAGGUAGUGUAGGGAUAAAGAUUAACGAUGACAUGGGUCAUUAUUUCCAAACUUACAAAGGAUUAAGACAGGGAGAUGCUAUGUCCCCAAUUCUAUUCAACAUAAUUGCUGAUAUGUUGACGAUCCUAAUAAAUAGAGCCAAGGAGAAGGCACUUAUUGGGGGACUGAUUCCACAUUUGGUGGAUGGAGGAGUGUCCAUCUUACAAUACGCGGAUGAUACAAUCAUUUUUAUGGAGCAUGACAUAGCCAAAGCUAAGAAUAUGAAACUUAUACUGUGCCUGUUUGAACAACUCUCGGGGCUAAAGAUUAAUUUUAAGAAAAGCGAAUUGUUCUGUUUUGGUAAAGCCAAGGAGGAACAAGAAUCCUACAAACAAUUAUUCGGUUGCGAGAUGGGAUCGUUGCCAUUUUCUUAUUUGGGUAUACCUAUUCACCACAGAAAACUUACAAAUAAAGAAUGGAAAAGCAUUGAGGAUCGUUUUGAGAAAAGACUAAGUUGCUGGAAGAGCAAACUUAUGUCAUAUGGGGGCCGGCUAGUGCUUAUUAACUCAGUGUUAACAAGUUUACCAAUGUUCCUCCUAUCUUUUUUCGAGAUACCUGUAGGGGUACGAAAAGGACUAGAUUUUUACAGAUCUAGAUUUUUUUGGCAAAGUGAUGAAAGUAAGAAGAAAUAUAGGCUUGCCAAAUGGGACAUGAUGUGCAGGCCGAAGGAUCAAGGAGGGUUAGGAAUAGAAAACCUACAGGUGAAAAACAUGUGCUUAUUAAGCAAAUGGAUUUAUAAACUUUCAGUGGAGACGGAAGGAAUAUGGGUGCAAAUUGCGUAAUAACUACCUACAAACCAAAACUCUGGCACAAGUGACAGUGAAACGCACGGAUUCACGGUUUUGGAAAGGGUUAAUGAAGAUAAAACAAUCCUUUUUCCGUAUGGUGAAGUUUCACAUAGGCGAUGGUACCACGACCAGAUUUUGGGAGGAUACGUGGUUGGGAGAUACACCACUAUCUGCGCAGUAUCCGGUAUUAUAUAAUAUUGUACGGCGUAAACAGGAUUAUGUCGCUACAGUUAUGCAGACAACCCCCCUAAAUAUUCAAUUCAGGAGGUCACUGCUGGGAGAAAGAUGGGAUUAUUGGUUACACUUGGUAAGAAGGCUUAUGAAUGUACAGCUAUCUGACCAACCAGACAAAAUUCACUGGAAGUUAACUACAAGUGGUAGUUUUACAGUGAAAUCGAUGUACACACACACCAUUAAUACCGGAACAAUUCCUACCUCUUCACAUAUUUGGAAAAUUAAAGUACCACUAAAAAUUAAGAUUUUUAUGUGGUUUCUUCACAAAGGGGUCAUACUCACGAAAGAUAAUUUGAUUAAAAGAAGAUGGGUGGGUAACCCUAGAUGUUGCUUCUGUGAUAACAACGAAACGAUAAAACACCUCUUUCUCGAUUGUCCAUUGGCUAGACUUUUAUGGCGCACUAUUCAUAUAGCUUUUAAUAUUAAUACUCCAUUAAGUAUGAACAUGUUAUUUGGGACGUGGCUUAAUGGAGUGCAAGACAAUAUAGCCAAGCAAAUUAGGAUUGGAUCAUGUGCUUUAUUAUGGGCUAUUUGGAAUAGCAGGAAUGAUAUGAUUUUUAACAAUAAUAGAUUCAACAACUUCUUACAGGUCAUAUACAGAGCAACCUCCUUGAUCCGUACGUGGUUGUUACUCACGCCUCCGGAGUUCAGGGAUCGUUUGGCUAUUGGGUGCAACCGGUGGGAGACGGCAGCGCGGGCUAUCUUCAACCGAUAUGGAUGGCUGCACACUAACAGGCUAGGUGUAUAGGCAUCUUAGUCUGAGCUUGAUUUAGCCCAUGUUGGCAUGUAUUUAUUUUUCCUUUUCGGUAGACUUCUGGCUGUUUAUGUACCUUGCACUACGGUUCAACCUUUGCGACUAAAUAAAAUGGCUGCAUGCAUCAUCAUGAUGCAGAAGCCGGGGGCUCAUCCUCCUUUUCAAAAAAAAAAUCAAGCAAAGUUUGUGCUACUAUUUUGACGUGGAGAUACCAACCGCUCGUGAAGACUAACUAGUAGUUCGACUUUGUUUCUUUUUUCUCCAAUUGCUACGUCUACAUCCGAGACAUACUACCAGGUGCUAUUUAUCCUAUUCCGUUUGAUCCGUAAAUUAAUUCUAUCAAAAUAAUUUCUACCGGCUUGUACUACUUUGUGUACACAGAUUUAUCUACUCAUGACACCCAUGAAGUAUGAUCUUCCGUUGUUGGACCGUGACACAAGGUUUACCCUAUGACAAUUCAAGAUACGAGCAUUGUUCGCACAGGCCGACUAUGAUGAUGCACUGGAUAGUUUUGGGAAGAAUAGAAUUGAGGACUGGACUGCUGAUGAGAAAAGAAGGGAUCGUAAGUGAUGGGGUUAUAGUCCUAGGGUAGGGUCAUAGGCCUGCCCUGUGGAGCCUACCCAAGGACUACCCUUCAUGAAGGAUAAUGCCCUUAGUCAGUUCCGACUGAAUUAAGGACUUUCCAUCAUCCAGUCGGUGACGAUUCCUCUAUCAUCCAGUCGGAGAUGAGCAUUCGGAGCGUAUCAAGCUUACCGACUGGAUUCCACUCUGUACAUCGUAACCCCCUGGAGGGCAACGGUCAUACGUUUCCAUAUACCUUUAUUAGCAUUUAAGAUAUACGUUACCUGUAACGUAUGUAGUUAUUCACCACUACUCCACCCCUGCGCACCGAACCGUUGUGAAGGGUAGCGCACUCUAUAUAAGCCGCCUUUCCCCACUGGUGCAGGGGUUAGCAAUUCACUGUAAUCCAUAUUCCACUUGACAACAAGCUCCCAAGAGCACUGAGACGUAGGGCUUUUACCUCCACCGUAGAGGGGCCUGAACUCAUACAACCUCGCCGUAGCUAAGGCUCUGCCCAUCCUUUCGUACCCUACACAUCUACUGUCAGGCUUAUACCCAUGACAGUUGGCGCCCGCCGUGGGGCAGGCGUCUAAGCGACUUCCGGCGAGCUUGCGACUACAUCUUUUCAUCAUGUCAUCCGGUGGAGAUCUGAGCAUGGGUCACGAGAUCCUCUUCGGCGCUCUCUCCUUCAUCGUCGAUGAUUCGGCAUGGCUUUGGGAUGCCCCUCUCGACGUCGAGGCGCUCCCCAUCCGCGGGGCUACGCACUUCCGUGCCGGUGCCCGUGGUAUUCUUCUUCUCCAGCAGUCGGCUCCGGUGUCGACCUGCGCCGUCAUCGCGCGCCGCAACAAGCGGUCCCGCCGUCCGCGGCUCCAGCGAUGGGUGCAACACGCCCAGGCGCGCCAGAACGCGUCCUCACAAGUGGCGGUCCUAGAGUCGGUUGUGGUUGCACCGCCAUCCCAGCGCUCGGACUCAGUUCCGACUGAGUUUCCUUUCGAGUACUUGGGUCGUGGGCCUGCAGCUGAAGUGCACAUGGCCAACUCCCAUGAAAGUCCCCGCCAAACUGGCCGGAACGAGCACGAGGUCGGCGAAACAUCCGGCGCUCGCCGUCAGCCCCUCCGUUCUGCCAGUCGGCACACUCGACGGAGCAACGUGGAGGUGUACCGCACACCCGUCCUCAACCUGGCUGACGCCGCCAAGAUAGUCGAUUCUCUCCAGCCGACUGAUUCAGAGUCUCGCAGAGGGAUCGAGCAAAUCCGUGCCCUGCUACACACGGCGCAACAGCAAAAUUCAGCGGUCUCCCAGUCGCACAACAGGAUUCACAAUAGUUCUAUUCACGCGAACAUGCAUCGGUCUGUUCACAGCCCCGGUUCUCAUCAGCGACAUAGGGGAGGCAGCCGUUCCAUGAAUCCCGAAGAUCGUCGCCGCUCACGCACCCCUCCGCGGGGUGGGCCCUAUGGGUCCCGACAUCAUGAUGAUCGGCGUUCAGUCGGUGACACUUAUGAUCCUAGGCCCGACGCGAGAGGGCAUAUCGCCCAGAGGAGGGUCGACAGGGGCCGAGCCCACCGCGAUGGCCACGAUAUGGACCGUCCGAGUGGAAGCAGGACCAUCGUCUCUGGCCCCGAGUGUUUCAGUCGAGCCAUCCGUUCAGCUGACAUCCCUCCCAACUUCCGUUUGGUGACGGGGAUCAGCAAGUUGACAGGAGAAUCCAAGCCAGAAACGUGGCUGGACGACUACCAAGUGGCAGUCCAGAUCGGAGGAGGGGACGACCACGUCGCAAUGAAACACCUACCUCUGAUGCUCGACGGCUCGGCACGAGCGUGGCUGAAUCAGUUGGCUCCUUCAAGCAUCUACAGCUCGGCAGAUCUGGCCCGAGUCUUCAUUAGGACCUUCGAAGGGACGUGCAAACGCCCUACUGGCCUCGUGGAGCUCCAGCACUGUGUCCAGAAGUAGAAUGAGCCCCUGCGCGAUUUCAUUCAGUGUUGGACGACCCUCUACCACACGGUGGAGAACGUCACAGAGCACCAAGCAGUCUGCGCCUUCAAGGCAGGCGUGCGGUACAGAGAUUUUUACCUGAAGUUCGGUCGAACAGGCGACAUCUCCAUGAGUAAGAUGAUGGAGGCAGCGGCACGCUAUGCAAAUGGCGAAGAAGAGGACCGCAUUCGUAGCGGCAAGCAGAAAGCAGUCGCCGACGGAUAUGGGAACGGCACUCGGAAGCAGAAGCAGAAAGCCCCGUCCACUCCGCAGGCAGAGGCCGCAGCCGUUACCAAUGCCAAGUUCAAGGGCAAGGGGAAGGCUCAGUUCACCCCCAAGAAGAAGCCGUUCGGAAACCCCAUCCUGGACCAGCCAUGUCCAAUUCACACGAAGAUGGAUGAAGAGGGCAACGCCAUAUAUCCGAAGCAUACCACUUGGCAAUGUCGUCUCCUGAUCCAGGGGUUCGACGAAGGACAAUCGAGUGAAAAGGGCAAUGAACAGGAUGAGGAGGACAAGGAGGAUCCGUUCCCCCAAGUCCAUGCAACAUUGAUGAUUUUUGCUGACAUUGAGAGCAAGAGUCGACUGAAGCUGGUGAACAGAGAGGUGAACAUGGCCACGCCAACCAACCCGACGUUCCUCAAAUGGUCUCAGACUGCGAUCACCUUUGACCAGUCGGAUCAUCCAGCACACGUACCCACCCCAGGGAGGCAGGCUCUGGUCGUCGACCCGGUGGUGGAAGGAGUCCGACUGCGCAAAGUCCUCAUGGACGGUGGCAGUGGCUUAAACAUCAUGUACGCUGACACUCUCAAGGGGAUGGGCAUUCCGAUGUCCAAACUUAAGAGCAGCAUGCAGUUCCACGGAGUCGUCCCGGGACGAAAGGCCAAGUCACUCGGCCAGAUCGCGUUGGACGUCGUCUACGGCUCCGACAAGAACUUCCGCAAGGAAAAGCUGACGUUCGAGGUGGUGGACUUCCAGAGUGCGUACAACGCAAUUCUGGGCCGCCUUGUUACGUGUACCUAAAGCUGAAGAUGCCAGGCCCAAAAGGUGUGAUCACUAUCACAGGCAAUCAGCAGCGGGCUGAGGAGUGUCUGCAGCAGGGAUCGAGGAUCGCCGAUCAGCAGAUGGCUGUCCUCGAGCUUAACGAGUACUAGAAGACAGUAGACCCCGCUGACUUGAUGCGUUCGAAGAAGCCAGCUUCGGAGUCCGCAUUCCAGUCGGCGGGAGAGACGAAGAAGGUCAGCAUCCACCCGACGGACGACACCGCCGCCCCGAUGAACAUCUCCACCACCCUCGAUCCUAAAUAGGAAGCCGAGCUCACCCAAUUCCUCCGUGAGAACUGGGACAUCUUCGCAUGGAAGCCCACUGACAUGCCAGGUGUACCCUGGAAGUUGGCUGAGCACCGACUGCAUGUGGAUCCCGCCGCUCGGCCUGUCCGAGAACGCCUGCGUCGGUCCGCCGCGCACAAAAGGAAGGCAAUCGGAGAAGAGGUGGCUAAACUUUUGGCAGCCAACUUCAUUCGCGAGGUACACCACUCCGAGUGGCUCGCUAAUGUUGUCAUGGUGCCCAAGAAAGACAAGUCGCUCCGAAUGUGCAUCGACUUCAAGCAUCUAUAUAAGGUCUGCCCGAAAGACCAUUUUCCGCUCCCCCGCAUCGAUCAAAUUGUCGAUUCGACUGCGGGUUGCGAGCGGUUGUCAUUCCUUGAUGCCUACUCGGGCUAUCAUCAGAUCCGUCUGUAUGGCCCCGAUGAAUUAAAAAUAGCCUUCAUCACCCCAUUCGGGUGCUUCUGCUACAUCACUAUGCCAUUUGGUUUGAAGAAUGCAGGAACAACCUUUAUGCGCAUGAUCCAAAAAUGCCUCCUCGACCAGAUCGGUCGGAAUGUGGAGGCGUCUAUGGAUGAUAUCGUAGUCAAGUCACGCAAGGGUUCCGACCUGCUGACUGACUUGGCAGAAACAUUCGCCAACCUUCGUAGGUACGAUAUCAAGCUCAAUCUGGCCAAGUGUUCAUUCGGCGUUCCCAGCGGAAAGUUACUCGGUUUCUUCGUUUCCGAACGAGAGAUCGAUGUCAACCCCAAAAAGAUCGGUACCAUCGUCCGAAUGGAGCGGCCGGUCAGAAUACACGAUGUUCAAAGACUCACAAGUUGCCUAGCGGCUUUGAGCAGAUUUAUCAGUCGACUCGGCGAGAAGGCACUUCCUGUGUACCGACUCAUGAAGAAAUCAGAUACUUUCGAGUGGACAAACGAAGCCCAAAUCGCAUUCGACGACCUCAAAGUCCUACUUUCCACCCAGCCGGUUCUUACUGCUCCGCUCAGUAAAGAACCCCUUCUUAUAGUCGUCAGCACUGUUCUCACAGUCGAACAGGAAGAAGAAGGCAAAGCAUACAAGGUUCAGCGGCCAGUGUAUUAUGUCUCCGAAGUCCUGACUCCUUCCAAGCACAGGUAUCCCCAUUAUCAAAAACUUAUCUACGGGAUAUACAUGACUGCGAAGAAGGUGGCUCAUUAUUUUCAAGACCACACGGUGUCUGUCGUUUCUGAUGCCCGUUGUCAGAAAUCCUACACAAUCGGGACGCAUCGGGCCGAGUGGCGAAGUGGGCAAUGGAGAUGUUAUACUGUGACAUCAGGUUCGAGGCCAAGAAAGCUAUAAAGUUUCAAGCUCUGGCUGACUCCAUAGCAGAAUGGGUAGAACAACAGCAACCGACCCACAUCUACUCGGCUCAUUGGACAAUGUUCUUCGAUGGGUCCAAGAUGUUGAAUGGCUCUGGCGCUAGCGUUGUGAUCGUAUCGCCAAAGGGCGACAAACUCAAGUAUGUGUUGCAGAUACACUUUGAUUCCUCCAACAACGAGGCAGAGUAUGAAGCUCUCCUUUAUGGACUGCGCAUGGCCAUCGCACUCGGCGUCCGUCGCCUGAUGGUCUAUGGCGAUUCGGAUUUGGUGGUCAAUCAAGUGAUGAAGGAGUGGGACAUCAGGAAUCCCACCAUGACCACAUACUGCAAUGCAGUGAGGAAGCUCGAGAAAAAGUUUGAAGGUCUGGAACUUCACCAUGUUCCGCGACUGAAAAACAAAGCACCUGAUGAGUUGGCGAAACUCGGAUCCACUCGGAGACCAGUCGUGAGUGACGUCUGCCUCGAGCACCUCCACCUUCCCUCAGUUAAAGAAGAUCCCUUCACAGAGGAACCAGUACAACCAAAGAGCUCGACAGAUCCGAUUGAAGUCGAAGUCCCUGCUGUAGUUGAUUUGAUCAUGGAGGUUCUUGAUAUCAUCCCCGAGUGCACUGUGCCAUUCAUUGCAUACAUCCCGAGGCUUACCAGAAGACGAAGUCCAAGCCAGACAGAUCGUCCGCAGGUCAAAGUCGUUCACUGUCAUUGAUGGCCAGUUGUACAAGGAAAGCGUUUCAGGCGUCCUUCGACGAUGCAUCUCCCCUGAGGAGGGACAGUUGAUCCUGGAAGAAAUUCACUCGGGAACCUGCGGUCAUCACGCCUCCUCAAGAGCAAUCAUCGCCAAAGCAUUCAGAGCUGGCUUCUUUUGUCUGCAGGCGAAUGAAAUGGUGAAAGAUAUGGUCGAUCGAUGUGAAGGCUGUCAGUUCUACUCUAACAAGUCCCACAAACCAACGUCUGCGUUGAAGACAAUCCCUCUUGUUUGGCCAUUUGCAGUAUGGGGACUAGAUACAGUCGGUCCAUGCAGGACAGGCCAAGGGGGAUUCACUCAUCUGUUGGUGACAGUCGACAAGUUCACAAAGUGGAUUGAAGCCAAGCCCAUCAAAAAGCUCGACGCCCUUACGGCCAUCAAGUUUGUCAGGGACAUCAUCUCCAGAUUCGGGGUACCUCAGAGCAUAAUCACUGACAAUGGAACAAACUUUGACUCGGACAGAUUCAAAAGUUUUUGUACAUGCCAAGGUAUCCGAGUGGAUUUUGCAUCUGUGGCGCAUCCACAAACAAACGGGCAAGCAGAGCGGGCGAAUGGACUUAUUCUGCAAGGUUUGAAGCCUCGACUCCUGUGAGAAGUGGGGCAUGCCACCGGCGCAUGGGUCACCGAGCUGCCUUCGGUGCUUUGGGGUCUCCAUACAACCCCAAACAGAUCUACAGGGCGAUCCCCGUUCUUCCUCGUUUACGGAGCAGAGGUAGUCCUUCCGAGUGACUUGCUUCACAACGCUCCACGAGUUGAACUCUUCUCCGAAGCUGAAGCAGAGAAAGCAAGGCAAGACGGAGGGGAUCUUCUAGAGGAGGAGCGCGAGAUGGCACUGACUCGCUCAACCAUUUAUCAACAAGAUCUGCGGCGUUUUCACGCGCGACACGUCAAGAGUCACACAUUCCAAGCAGGCGACCUGGUGCUUCGAGUGGAUCAGCAGAGACCUCACAAGUUGGCCCCCGCCUAGGAAGGACCCUUCAUCAUAUCCAAGGUGCUGAACAACGGAGCUUAUCGACUCUACAACCUCGACAGGGAAACGGACGAGCCGCGAGCAUGUAACGGAGAUCUCUUGAAGCGCUUCUACACGUGACCGUCGACUGAAGCAAUGUAAAGAACAAGUAUCGUUGAAGUAAUACAAAGCAGAUUGAGUUUUUGCAGCUUCAAAAUUCUUCCGCGGUCGCAGACUCCGGUCUCAAAAAAAAACUUAGCUGCGAUCCAGAAUCACCUAAGUACAAACUUUCUCCGAGUGUGCACUAAACGUCGCACUCGGGGACUUAGCUGCGAUCAAGAAUCGCCUAAGUACAAACUUUCUCCGAGUGUGCACUAAACAUCGCACUCGGGGACUUAGCUGCGAUCAAGAAUCGCCUAAGUACAAACUUUCUCCGAGUGUGCACUAAACGUCGCACUCGGGGACUUAGCUGCGAUCAAGAAUCACCUAAGUACAAACUUUCUUCGAGUGUGCACUAAACGUCGUACUCGGGGACUUAGCUGCGAUCAAGAAUCGCCUAAGUACAAACUUUCUCUGAGUGUGCACUAAACGUCGCACUCGGGGACUUAGCUGCGAUCAAGAAUCGCCUAAGUACAAACCUUCUCCGAGUCCGCACUAAACGUCGCACUCGGGGACUUAGCUACGAUCAAGAAUCGCCUAAGUACAAACCUUCUCCGAGUGUGCACUAAACAUCGCACUCGGGGAGUUAGCUGCGAUCAAGAAUCUCCUAAGUACAAACCUUCUCCGAGUCUACACUAAACGUCGCACUCAGGGACUUAGCUGCGAUCAAGAAUCGCCUAAGUAGUAAGCUUCCUUUGAAUGUAUCUUACAGAUCCACUCGGAGGCUUAGCAGACCCUCAUUGAGGCUCAUGCAGAUGUCAAGACAACUGCCAAUUACAUGAGUAGCAGAACCUCAUUGAGGCUCAUGUAGAUGUCAAGACAACUAACAAAUACAUGAGUAACAACUCGCUCCGAGUAUGACCUUACAGUCGCACUCGAAGACUUAGCCGCGAUCACGAAUCGCCUAAGUACACAAUUGCCUUCGAGUGUAUCCUACAGAUCCACUCGGCGACCCAGCAGACCCUCAGUGAGGCUCAUGCAGAUGUCAAGACAACUGACAAUUACAUGCUCCGCAUGUUUGCCAUUGGCUUCACCAAGAAACGCCAAACAAAAACCACGAGCCAAAAUCGUGUCAGCAACUCUUUGGCAAAGGAAGAGCAAACGAUUCGAUUCAAAUUCAAAGUUCGUUUAAAGAUAGUUGGUUCGGUGUAGAUCAAGCUUAUCCACACCGAACCACAAAUGUGACGGCCAACAGAAGUGGCCAAAAUUUCAUACAACUAACACUCGGCAUACCGAGGUAAAAAGUUUUCUCAAGACUCAUCAGGACUGGCACUGGGACUGGCAGGCUCGACGAAAGUGUCGAGGUCGAUCCCGUGUGCGAUGCGAGUGGCGCUCUCAAGGAAGGUCUCCAUGAAAUCUUCGAAUCGAAGCUUCUUCGUGUUUGCGACAUGCAACGCCUUUAGCUUCUCUUCGCGAGCCUCCUUGCAGUGCACUCGGACCAGCGACAGCGCCACGUCCGCACCACAACGAGCCGCAGACUUCUUCCACGCCUGCACACGGUUCGGGACCUCCUCCACCCGACUCAUCAAACCUUCCAUCUCUUGCCGAGACUCGUCUUCGGGCCAUAGCUCCUUGUCGAUUCGGCUGACGACCUCUCUCAGUCGCCCGAUGAAAGGUCCCACCUUACCCAGGCGAAUGUGCGCUCGGAGCAUAUCUCGAUUGGCGUCGUCACUGAGUGGAACGUUCGGAAUAACCGACCGCUCCACGUCAGCUGCUUCAGCCUCAGCGUCCAUACAAAAAUCUGCAAAGACAAGACGAGCAACAAGUAAGCGCAGAAUGAACUACACGGUCAACAAACACUCGGAAAAACAGAACUUACCACCGAGAAGCGCAAUCAUCUGCCUUGCCCAGUCACUGACGUACUUCUCCUGUGCUAUGCACCGCCUGUUCAGCACCAGCAUCUGUCCCAUCAGUUCAGUUCUUUGUUUACCCAUCUUCUCCACUUCGGCAACCAAUGCCUUUUUUGCUUCACGGGACUCCUCCAAGGACUUCUCUCGUUCAGCCAGAACACCCUUCAUACCAGCCAAGGCAAGCAUUGCUGCAUCUAGUUCCGCAGCAAACUGAAUCUUUUCAGCUCUCAGAGUUUUGUACGCUGAUGCCAUCUCGCAAGUCUUCUGCAUGUCAGCGCGAAGAGACGAUCAGACAGAUUCAGCAAGGACAACAAUAUAAACUCAAAGUUCUUCAGACCCCUACCGACGCAAGCAGUCGACAGCGGUCUCGGGGACUACACCAAGUGGGUUCACUAAGAGUGACCCCACUGGCAUGACGCUCAAACAGGUCCGCCCUAUUGAGAUACAUAACAAAAAACAAGCCUAUGAGGCUACUACUACCCGACUUGAGUAAAAUUACUCUCGAGGACUAAUCCAGUAGGUGCACUCGGAAUGCCCCUACCAGUAACAUUCGAACAGAUUAGUUUUGAUCUGAUUGAGUUAAAAGAAAUUUUAUAUAAAGACAACUGCCGGUGCAAGCACUCGACAGAAGUCUCGGGGACAACACCCACUGGGUUCACUAAGAGUGAACCCACCGCAAACUAAACAUUCGGUAUCCGAGUAUCUGGCUUAAACACCCAGUGGGUUACAAGGGGAAAGAAAAUACUUACUAGCCCACUUACUCGGAUAUCGUCCCUGAGUACCAAGCUUCGCUUGUACACAGGCGCGAUGGAGUCGUACGCUCUCUUGGCAUCGCCUGCCAUCAACUCCGCCUGCACCAUGGCUUCCUUAGCAGCUCCCACCUGAUCCUCUGGGAGGCGUCGGGCGUCGUACUGGAGAGUCGACGGACCUGGCACCCCAAGAGACUCCUUGGGCAUCCCAAGUCCCGCUCCAGUUGGUUCAGCAACGAUGAGCGCCGUGUCAGUCGACGGCAUCGUCUCAGUUGGCGGCACUUCCAUGGCAGGAGUGGUAAUAGACGGAACGGCCUCAAUGACGGGCGCCACAGCUUGCUCGGACCUCUUCUGAUCGUCAUCCUCCACAUGGAUCACCUCUGAAGGAAGCCCGACCAAACGACGUGAGACCAUAGGAAAAAGGACAAGACCAAAGACGGAAUUCGCGAAAUAAUAAUGUAAGCUCUCGGAGUCGCCACGAUGUACCUUGCUGGGACGUGACAACAUUGUCCGUGUCCAUGGGAUCGUCUUCCUGGCGCGGCACAGAAGUGGUAGAGGUGGCAGCUCUGUCAAGUUAAAUUCAUUCGACCGAUAAGCAUGAGUUCAAUCAAAUACNAACAAUGCACUUACGCUGAGGCGACGGGAACGGCGAUCCUCAUCCGCGGCAAAGCCUUCCGAGGUUUAGAUCCACUCGGUUUGGCCACCUUAGAGGGUUGGCCCGCGGGCUCAGCAGCAGAGUCCCUGGUCCUCUUUGUGCUCCGAGCACUCGGAACCAUGGGAGAAGCUGACGAGGCCCCGUGUAGUGCCACAUGGCGUGGUGUCGAGCUUAGAGAGGCUGGAUACGCCGACCCAGAAAAACCUCCAGCAAGUCUAUGCCAGUGACCCCCUUUCGGACGACCUCUACAAGCUCAUCGACCAGAGGCUGGAUCUGGAUCUUCUCCAUCUUCGAGAGCGCGAGUUGCCUAGGCAGAGCCGUUCGGUCUAAGCUAAAAGGUGGUAGUCCAGUGGUCGCAUUCGGGCUAGCAACGUCUUGGCAGUAAAACCAAGUCGACUGCCAGUUCCUAACGGAUUCAGACAGCUGGAGAGCGGGAUAGCUACUUUUACUUUUCUUUUGGAAGCCUAAGCCUCCGCAGAGCUGGAGGAGGUGAGUUUUGUCAUCCGACUGGUUCAGCCUUUUUAUGGUUUGAGAUCUAGCAGAGAAGAUGUUCUUAAAAAGCCCCCAAUGGGGAGGAGAGCCGAUAAAGCACUCGCACAGCACGACGAAGGCAGAGAGAUGAGCUAUCACGUUAGGAGGAAAAUGGUGGAGCUGCGCCCCGAAGUGGUUCAAGAUACCUCUGAAGAAGGGAUGAGGAGGCAGAGAGACGCCUCGGUGCACGUGGCUGAGCAACAAGACGUGCUCCCCCUCCUGGGGCGCCGGCUCGGUCUCGCCCUCCGCCGGCAACCUCCACGUCUUGUGCUCGAUCAUGCCGUGCUCCACCAGCUCCAGCAUGUCCUCCUCCGUCACCAUGGAGGGGAGGAAGUCCUCCUGGAUCCAACCCGCCGGCAGUGCUCGCUGCCGCCGCUGAGCAGGAGCCGCCGCCUUCCCCUUCUUCUUCCGCGCCUCAAGCUUGCUCGUCUGCCCCUUUGUCAUGGUGGAGGCUGCACACCCGCGGGGGAGAAGGAGAAGGAAAGAGCUUGAGAUGCGCAGGAGGUGGCGAGAGAAGCGGGGCAAGUGCGAGCUAUCAAUUGAGCGCAACGAAAAACCCUCGCUGUAGAGGUUUAAAUAAGGUUCCGAUUGGGUCACUAGUAGGUGGCCCCGAAAUCUUAUCCCCCGACCGGUCGCUGCGAUAUUAGUGGAAGAGAUGAAGGCGCAGAAAUCGAGGCAGCAGAUACUACUCGAUUGCGAUGUCGUCACCCCCGCCGAGCGCGUGGCAACCGAAAUUUGAGGAUCCCGAAAGAUCCGCCGCUGUCAGUUGACCGGUCACAUCAAAAGAUACCACGGAAGCACUCGGUCCCUGACGGUUCGUUUCACAAAUACAUCCACUCGGAUCACUGGUCAAGAAGAUAAAAUGCAUCGAGGCAAACAACGCCAAAGUCGCAUCCGUACCAGUCGGAUCCGUACUCCAAGCAUCGCUUGGUCGUUCCAACCCCAAUCCAUUUCGGGGACUAAUGAUGGGGUUAUAGUCCUAGGGUAGGGUCAUAGGCCUGCCCUGUGGGGCCUACCCAAGGACUACCCUUCAUGAAGGAUAAGGCUCUUAGUCAGUUCCGACUGAAUUAAGGACUUCCCAUCAUCCAGUCGGUGACGAUUCCUCUAUCAUCCAGUCGGAGAUGAGCAUUCGGAGCGUAUCAAGCUUACCGACUGGAUUCCACUCUGUACAUCGUAACCCCCGUGGAGGGCAACAGUCAUACGUUUCCAUAUACCUUUAUUAGCAUUUAAGACAUACGUUACCUGUAACGUAUGCAGUUAUUCACCACUACUCCACCCCUGCGCACCGAACCGUUGUGAAGGGUAGCGCACUCUAUAUAAGCCGCCCUUCCCCACUGGUGCAGGGGUUAGCAAUUCACUGUAAUCCAUAUUCCACUCGACAACAAGCUCCCAAGAGCACUGAGACGUAGGGCUUUUACCUCCACCGUAGAGGGGCCUGAACUCAUACAACCUCGCCGUAGCUAAGGCUCUGCCCAUCCUUUCAUACCCUACACAUCUACUGUCAGGCUUAUACCCACGACAGUAAGGCUUUGUCACAAAUUCAACUCCAUUUGCAUAAUAAUAUUUUGCAGGAACUUUUAAGUGAGAAAACUAUCGCCGCUCUAUGGUUAAAGCUGGAAGGGAUUUGCAUGACAAAAGAUCUCACCAGCAAGAUGCAUUUGAAGCAAAAAAUAUUCAUGCACAGGUUACCCGAGGGAGGUAAUGUUUUGACUUAUAUUUCAGAAUUUAAAGAGAUCAUAUCCGAUCUAGCCGCAAUCGAGGUUACGUAUGAUGAAGAAGAUACUGCUUUAAUGUUACUUUGUUCGCUGCCAAGUUCUUAUACCAAUUUUCGAGACACCAUAUUAUAUAGUCGUGAUACUCUCACGCUAAAUGAAGUUUAUGAAGCUUUGAACUCUAAGGAGAAGAUGAAAUUAAUGGUGCCUCAUGAUGGUUCAAGUUCAUCCCAAGCCGAGGGAUUAUCUGUUCGUGGCAGGACAAAGGAGAAGAACUCACAUAAUGGAAACCGUGGCAAAAGUAAGAACGGCCAGAGGGGCCGGUCACAAUCCAGAGACAAGAAGCAGUCUUGCAGGUAUUGCAAGAGAGACGGGCAUGAUAUCUCAGAAUGUUUCAAGUUGAAGAACAAGGAAAAGAGGAAUGGUACGUAUAAACCGAAAGGUAACAAACAAGGUGAAAAUUCUGCUAAUGUUGCUCGUGAUGAAAGUUUCGAUGAUGCUCUUGUUGUUAUUGUUGGAUGUGCUGAGACCAAUGAUGGGAGGGUACUUGACACUGCGUGUACUUUUCAUAUGUGCCCGCAUAGAGAUUGGUUUACUACUUUUGAUUCUACUACUACUGCUGGUUCCGUUUUGGGUUUUGAUAAUUCACCAUGCAAGAUUGAAGGCAUAGCUUUCGAAUCAAGAUGUUUAAUGGCACAAUCAGAACUUUGACAAAUGUUCGGUAUAUUCUGAAGAUGAAGAGAAAUCUUAUCUCUGUGAGUGCCCUUGAUGCAAAGGGCUACAAGUAUUCAGGUGGAGAUAGCGUUUUGAAGGUCACCAAAGGUUCUCUCAUUGUGAUGCAAGGUGACUUAAGUUCGAUGAAUGGUCUUUAUUACCUUCGAAGUUCUACCGUUUCAGGUAACGCUACUCAAGUUAUUUCAAAGAAUUCUGGUUGUGAUGCUUCUAACCUUUGGCAUAUGCGUCUUGGACAUAUGAGUGAACUUGGUUUGGCAGAGUUAAAUAAGAGAGGUCUUCUCAAAGGAUACCAAACUGGUAUAUUGAAAUUUUGUGAGCAUUGUAUCUUCGGCAAGCACAAGAGGGUGAAGUUCAACACUUCCACUCAUACAACUGAAGGUAUUCUUGAUUAUGUGCAUUCUGAUUUAUGGGGACCAUCUCGCAAAAAGUCACUAGGUGGUGCUAGUUACAUGUUGACUAUUAUUGAUGAUUAUUCGAGAAAGGUUUGGCCUUAUUUCUUGAAGCAUAAAUGGCAAGCUUUCUCAGCUUUUAAGGAGUGGGAGAUUAUGAUUGAGAGACAAACUGAAAAGAAGGUAAAAAUACUUCGCACUGAUAAUGGUAUGGAAUUCUGUUAUAAGCAAUUUAGGAAUUAUUGCAAGUCUGAAGGCAUUGUCAGACACCACCGUUCCUUAUACUCCUCAACAAAACGGUGUUGCUGAGCGUAUGAACAUGACCAUUAUUUCCAGAGCCCGUUGCAUGUUGUCCAAUGCAGGUUUGCAUACGCGUUUUUGGGCUGAGGCCGUUUCCACUAGUUGUUAUCUCAUCAACCGUUCACCAUCUAUUCCUCUUAAUAAGAAAACUCCAAUUGAGGUAUGGUCUGGUUCACCUGUUGAUUAUUCACAGUUGAGAGUUUUUGGUUGCACUGCUUAUGCUCAUGUUGAUAAUGGGAAGUUGGAGCCUAGGGCUGUUAAGUGCAUCUUUCUUGGUUACAAAUCUGGUGUUAAAGGUUUUAAACUGUGGAAUCCUGAAACACAAAAGAUUGUUAUUAGCAGAAAUGUUAUCUUUAAUGAAUCUGCUAUGUUACAUGAUGUUCCAUCUACUAAUGUUCCUCUUGAGAGUGAACAACAGUCUACUGUUCAGCAGCCUAUUGUUCAGGUGGAGCAUGUUAUCGAUUCAGGUGAUACUUGUGAUAAGGAAAAUGUUGAUGCACGUGAUGAACCCGUCUUUGAUGAUGAACAUGUCACUCCAAAUCAGCCUAUUGUUCCACCCAGUUGGAAUCUUGCUCAUGACAGAGUUAGGCGGGGUAUUAAUGCACCUGAAAGGUUAAUUGAGGAGUGCAAUAUUGUUUCUUUUGCUUUAUCUGUUGCAGAAGAAAUUAAAGGUAAUGUUGAGCCUUCUUCAUAUUCUGAGGCUAUUAUUUCUGGUGAUAGUAAUAAGUAGAUGACUGCUAUGCAUGAUGAGAUGGAAUCACUUGAAAAGAAUGGCACUUGGGAUUUAGUAAGAUUACCUGGAGAGAAGAAACCUAUUCGUUGAAAGUGGGUUUUCAAAAUAAAGGAAGGUGUUUCUCCUAAUGAUGAGGCAAGAUAUAAAGCAAGGUUGGUUGCUAAAGGUUAUAGCCAAAUUCCAGGUAUUGUCUAUAACGAAGUCUUUUCUCCUGUUGUGAAGCAUAGCUCUAUUCGCACUUUACUUAGUAUUGUUGCCAUGAAUGAUUUUGAGCUUGAACAAUUGGAUGUUAAAACUGCAUUCUUACAUGGAUAAUUAGAAGAGGAUAUUUAUAUGGAACGACAUGAAGGUUUUGUUAUUCCUGGAAAAGAAAAACUUGUCUGUAAGUUAAAGAAAUCUCUUUAUGGAUUGAAGCAAUCCCCUCGACAGUGGUACAAGAGAUUUGACACCUUUAUGCUCUCUCAAGGUUUCAAUCGGUCUAAUUAUGAUAGUUGUGUUUAUUUGAAAACUGUCAAUGGUUCAGCUAUUUAUUUGCUCCUUUAUGUUGAUGAUAUGUUAAUUGCUGCAAAUAGCAUGUCAGAGAUUGAUGAACUAAAGAAGCAAUUGAGUAAUAAAUUUGAGAUGAAGGAUUUGGGUGCAGCAAAGAAAAUACUUGGCAUGGAAAUAUCCAGAGAUAGACCAUUUGGAAAAUUAUAUCUCAGUUAGAAGGGUUAUAUUGAUAAAGUUCUUCAUCGUUUUAAUAUGCAUAAUGCCAAGACAGUAAGUACUUCGUUAGCUGCGCACUUCAAAUUAUCAUCAGCCUUAUGUCCUGAGUCAGAUGCAGAUAUUGAGUACAUGUCUAGAGUUCCCUAUUCGAGUGCAGUUGGUUCACUUAUGUAUGCCAUGGUUUGUUCUCGUCCGGAUUUAUCUUAUGCGCUGAGUGUUGUUAGUAGAUACAUGGCUAAUCCUGGAAAAGAGCAUUGGAAAGCAGUUCAGUGGAUUUUUAGAUACCUGCGAGGUACUUCUAAUGCUUAUUUACAGUUUGGGAAAACUGGAGAUGGACUUGUUGGUUUUGUCGAUUCUGAUUUUGAUGGUGAUUUGGAUAGGAGAAUAUCGCUCACAGGUUAUGUUAUCACCAUUGGUGGUUGUUUUGCGAGUUGGAGAGCAACUUUGCAGUCUAUUGUGGCUUGUUCCACUACUGAUGCCGAGUAUAUGGCUAUUUCUGAGGCAUGCAAAGAAGCUAUCUGGUUGAGAGGUUUGUACACUGAGCUUUGUGGAGAUUCAUCUUGCCCUACCAUAUUUUCUGACAGUCAAAGUGCUAUAUAUCUUACAAAGAAUCCAAUGUAUCACGAGAGAACAAAACACAUUGAUGUCAGAUUUCACUAUGUUCGAGAUGUUGUUGCUAAAGGUGAUUUGAAGGUAUGCAAGAUAAAUACUCAUGAUAAUCCAGCUCAUAUGAUGACAAAGCCAGUUCCUACCAAUAAGUUUGAGCUUUGCUCAAGCUUAGUUGGUAUUUCUCACUAGUUCGAUGGACUUUGACGCACAAGGUGUUUAUGCUGAUUUGGAUGGAGUUAUUCACUUUCUUCGACUACUGGAGGGAAUUUAGCUCAAGGUGGAGAUUGUUAAAUUAUGAUCCAAAUUCUACCGUAUUGGACUAGACGUAGUACAAACGGUGUGGGCCUUUGCGUUGGUACCGACGCAUACGAGUACAACUCGUUUACUUGUCCUCCAAGGACUCUCAUAUAUUUCCCCUCAUAUAUACUCCAUGUAGUCGCACCUAAAGACGGCAUGUCGUCUCAUGCUUGUAAUACUCCACCCUCAUAAUGAUUGCGCCUUCGUGCGUCCGUGGUUUUCUCCUGCAAGGGUUUCCACGUAAAAAUCCGUGUCUCUCGUGCCUCGUUAAUCUCGUUUUAUCUAACAGCCAAUUCACUAUUGUGGAUACGGAAAAGGAUACUUCUCUGUCCCUCCGCUCACGCCCCCAUCCGACUCCUCCCAAGCGGUUCGGGGGAAACCCAUAGCUGCCGCUAGCAGGUCAACCCCUCCAGCGCCCCAUCUCCUCCACCAUCAUCUUCGUCCUAGCUGAGGUGGCAACAACCCCCAGUUUCCAAAGGAGGCUCAGGGAGAGCAAAUGGUCGUGGUGGAUGCUCAUGCUCCUACUACUGGGAUGGGAGGGGGAAAAUAUAUGGUGCACCGGAGCUUGUGGUGCUACCGGUGCGCCGAACUUACAUUGUGCUUUUCAAAUGUUUGAAACAAUUUGAAAAAAUAGCACAUUCAUAGAACAUUAAUGUAGGUUGUCACAAAAUUUGAAGUCAAAAUUCGAAACAUAACUUGACAAAUAAAAAUGACAAAUUCAAUACUGAAUAGUACACAAGAUAACUGGGCUUUAGAUUCGGCCCAUUAUCACACCAAUGUCAAAUUUUUUAUUUUCAUAUCUUAAAAAAUAUUUUAAAUUUUUAUACGAAUUUUUGUGACAUCAUACAUUGAUGUUGCGCUAACAUGCUAGAUUUUGUUCACAAUGUUUAAAACGUUUGGUGCACCAGUAGCACAACAAGUACAGAUGCACCCGAUACAUUCCCAUGGGCGGUCUCGCAUGUCCCGUUCGCAAUGACUACUCCCCAUGCGUGGGUGCCUCCCCUCAGCAGCGGAUAUGACACCCACACCUAGAUCCGGGUUGAUCCGCGGGAUGCGCGUUCCUCUACCUCUCGAUGUCUGCGCGCCAAGGAAGGUGGUCUCCAUUGGUCCUGCUGUGCUGCUGCUGCUCGGAUCUGCUGUUAUGGCUCUAGAUCAGGUCGUUCCUGGUUCAUGGUGAGUACGAAUGUCGACCACAGAGGCUCCGGGCAGUGGAGGUUGGUGUUCGGUGCUCUAGUCAUGUGGAUGGCAGGCCACAGGUUGGUGGUCGACCGGUUGCAAUGCCUCUGUUUCUAAUGUUGUGCCCCCGGGAUCCUUUUGCACUCUGGUUGAAAUUCCAGCACCUUCUCUUUUGUUAAACAACAUGUAAUCUACGGUGUUUGUAUAAACCGUAUAUGUACGGUUUAAGUUGCCGGGUUGUUGGCUGUUGAGAUAGAAUCCUUGUGGAUCAAUCCGCCCAACAAACCAUGUAAAUCUUACAUGUAAUCUCGAUGCCUAUAUAACACGCAACGCGUCCCUGCAACAAGCAUACACUUAACCUAUGUUUUUCUACAUGGUAUACAAAGCUAUUUUCUUCCAUCGCACCUAGGGUACAUGUCUUCGUCCUCCUCCUCCAUCGCCAUGGUGUCCCCUCCCUUGCUACGCUAGGCCACACCAUCACAAACAAGCUGGACCGUGAAAACUUCCUCAUAUGGAGGGUAUAGGUGCUGCCCCAUCCAAGGGCCGCUGGCAUGAUGGGGUUUCUUGAUGGCUCGAUCAAGGAACCAGCUGUCGAGCUCCUCCUGGAGAAGGAAAUCUCUGGAAAGAAGGAAACUAGCCUCGUUCCCAACCCCGAGCAUGUUGUCUGGGUCUCGCAAGAUCAGCAGGUAUUGACCUUUCUGCAAGCGUCGCUCUCCCGCGAAGUUUUGCUUCAUGUGAGCAAGUGCACCACCGCCACCACCGCUUGGACUGCUCUGCUGCAAAGUUUUUCCUCACAAUCUGUGCUAGAAUCAUUCAGCUUCAAUCCCAGAUUGAUAGCACCCGAAAGGGGGACCUCUCUGCCGUUGUUUACUUCACAAAGAUGAAGGGCCUUGCAGAUGAGCUAGCUGCUGCCGAAAGCCUCUGGAGGAAGAAGACGUAGUCUCUCAUAUCCUCGAGGGACUCAUGCACGAACCGGAGUACAACGGGUUCGUGACCACAAUCUCUACGUAGACCAUCACUGACCAACCCAUCAGCCUCGGUGAGCUCUUCUCGCUUCUACUUGUUGUCGAGGCGCGCAUCACCGCUCAGACGACCGCCUACUCUGCCAACCUCGCCACUAAGGGCGGCGUCCGCGGCGGCUCUGGCGGUGGAAAUUAAAACUCCGGCAGCAACGACGGUUUCCGUGGCUACAACAACAACACCAACACGGGAACCCGCUUCUCCGACAACUCCUCUGGUGGCUUUGGUGGUGACCACGCGCGGUCGUGACCAUGGUGGCCGCGGCGACCAAAAACGUGAGAAGUGCCAGAUCUGCAAGCAGCUUGGACACGGUGUGUGGCGUUGUAAGAUGCGUUAUGAUCGUGGCUACAACAACAACGUGUGCAAUCCCGCGAGAAGUGGUGGCUGACAUCGCUCCUAUGGAGUUGAUACCAAUUGGUAUCUCGACACCGGUCCAACAGAUCAUGUGACCAGAGAAGUAGAGAAGCUUGUCAUCCGUGAUCGGCACACGGGCACGGAACCAAUCCACACUACGAGUGGUCAAGGUAUGAACAUUGCACAUGUUGGUCAUUAAGUUCUAUCUACUCCCUAUGGCUCCCUAGAUCUUAGUAACAUCCUUCAUGCUCCCCAAGCUAAUAAGAGUCUUCUAUCUGCUUACCAACUUAUGAUUGAUAAUCAUGCCUUUCUUGAAUUUACCCUGAAAUUGUUUUUGUUAAGGAUCAGGAAACUUGGAGAACCAUUCUACAAAGCAAGAGUAGGGGUGGGCUCUUUCCUGUCCAUGGCCACCAAGAGGUGCCGCAUCGUCAAGUCCUUGGCAUGAUAAAGCCAUCCACCUCACGGUGACAUAGACAUCUAGGGCAUCCUACCUUACCUGUGGUCCAAAAUAUUCUGUUAGAUUUUUCCCUUCCAUUUUCCAAUAAAAAGGAUCAUUUUAUAGUAUGUGAUUCUUGCCAAAUGGCCAAGAGCCAUCAGCUUCCUUUCUCUCGAUCUAGUAGUGAGUCAAAACCUCCUUUAGAGCUUGUUUUUCGGAUGUGUGGGGUCCUGGGGUCCUGGACCUGUCUCUGUUGGCAGACAGAAGUAUUAUGUGAGUUUCAUUGAUGAUUUUAGCAAAUUCAGUUGGAUAUACUUGCUCAAAAAUAAGUCCAAUGUCUUUGAGAAGUUUCAUAAUUUUUAGCAACAUGUUGAACGCCUCUUUGAUCGCAAAAUUCUUACUAUGCAAACUGACUGGGGUGGUGAGUACGAAAAACUCAUUCCUUUUUUGAGCGAAUUGGCAUCAUCCACCAUGAUUCAUGUCCACAUACACAUCAUCAAAAUGCUUCUGCCAAACAUAAACAUAGAAAUAUUUUCAAAGUUGGUCUAUCCUUCCUUGCUCAUGCUUUUAUGCCACUAAAAUUUUGGAAGGAGGCAUUCCUUGUUGGAAUUAUGCCCUAGAGGCAAUAAUAAAUAUAGUUAUUAUUAUAAUUCCUGUAUCAAGAUAAUCGUUUAUCAUCCAUGCUAUAAUUGUAUUGAAUGAAGACUUAUAUACAUGUGUGGAUACAUAGACAAAACACUGUCCCUAGCAAGCCUCUAGUUGGCUAGCCAGUUGAUCAAAGAUAAUCAGUGUCUUCUGAUUAUGAACAAGGUGUUGUUGCUUGAUAACUGGAUCACGUCAUUAGGAGAAUCACGUGAUGGACUAGACCCAAACUAAUAGACGUAGCAUGUUGAUCGUGUCAUUUUGUUGCUACUGUUUUCUGCGUGUCAAGUAUUUGUUCCUAUGACCAUGAGAUCAUAUAACUCACUGACACCGGAGGAAUACUUUGUGUGUAUCAAACGUCGCAACGUAACUGGGUGACUGUAAAGAUGCUCUACAGGUAUCUCCGAAGGUGUUCGUUGAGUUAGUAUGGAUCGAGACUGGGAUUUGUCACUCCGUGUGACGGAGAGGUAUCUCGGGGCCCACUCGGUAAUACAACAUCACACACAAGCCUUGCAAGCAAUGUGACUUAGUGUAAGUUACGGGAUCUUGUAUUACGGUACGAGUAAAGAGACUUGCCGGUAAAAGAGAUUGAAAUAGGUAUGCGGAUACUGACGAUCGAAUCUAUGGCAAGUAGCAUACCGAAGGACAAAGGGAAUGACAUACGGGAUUAUAUGAAUCCUUGGCACUGAGGUUCAAACGAUAAGAUCUUCGUAGAAUAUGUAGGAUCCAAUAUGGGCAUCCAGGUCCCGCUAUUGGAUAUUGACCGAGGAGUCUCUCGGGUCAUGUCUACAUAGUUCUCGAACCCGCAGGGUCUGCACACUUAAGGUUCGACGUUGUUUUAUGCGUAUUUGAGUUAUAUGGUUGGUUACCGAAUGUUGUUCGGAGUCCCGGAUGAGAUCAUGGACGUCACGAGGGUUUCCGGAAUAGGUCCGGAAAUGAAGAUUGAUAUAUAGGAUGACCUCAUUUGAUUAUCGGAAGGUUUUCAGAGUUAUCGGGAAUGUACCGGGAAUGACGAAUGGGUUCCGGGUGUUCACCGGGGGGGGCAACCCACCCCGGGGAAGCCCAUAGGCCUUGGGGGUGGCGCACCAGCCCUUAGUGGGCUGGUGGGACAGCCCAAGAAAGCCCUAUGCGCCAUAGGAAGAAAAAUCAAAGAGAAAAAAAAGGAGGAGGUGGGAAAAGGGGGAAGGACUCCUCCUUCCAAACCUAGUUGGACUCGGUUGGAAGGGGAGGGUUGCCCCCUAGGCUCGGCCGACCCCCUUGGGAGUCCUUGGACCCAAAGGCAAGGCUCCCCCUCCUCCCCCUAUAUAUACGGAGGUUUUAGGGCUGAUUUGACACAACUUUGCCACGGCAGCCCGACCACAUAUCUCCACGGUUUUACCUCUAGAUCGCGUUUCUGCGGAGCUCGGGCGAAGCCCUGCUGAGACAAGAUCAUCACCAACCUCCAGAGCGCCGUCACGCUGCCGGAGAACUCUUCUACCUCUCCGUCUCUCUUGCUGGAUCAAGAAGGCCGAGAUCAUCGUCGAGCUCUACGUGUGCUGAACGCGGAGGUGCCGUCCGUUCGGCACUAGAUCGUGGGACUGAUCGCGGGACGGUUCGCGGGGCGGAUCGAGGGACGUGAGGACGUUCCACUACAUCAACCGCGUUCACUAACGCUUCUGCUGUACGGUCUACAAGGGUACGUAGAUCAAACAUCCCCUCUCGUAGAUGGACAUCACCAUGAUAGGUCUUCGUGCGCGUAGGAAAUUUUUUGUUUCCCAUGCGACGUUCCCCAACAGUGGCAUCAUGAGCUAGGUGUAUGCGUAGAUGUCUUCUCGAGUAGGACACAAAAGUUUUUGUGGGCGAUGAUGUGCGUUUUGCUGCCCUCCUUAGUGUUUUCUUGAUUCCGCGGUAUUGUUGGAUUGAAGCGGCUUGGACCGACAUUACUCGUACGCUUACGAGAGACUGGUUUCAUCGCUACGAGUAACCCCGUUGCUCAAAGAUGACUGGCAACUGUCAGUUUCUUCAACUUUAGUUGAAUCGGAUUUGACCGAGGAGGUCCUUGGAUGAGGUUCAAUAGCAACUCAUAUAUCUCCGUUGUGGUGUUUGCGUAAGUAAGAUGCGAUCCUACUAGAUACCCAUGGUCACCACGUAAAACAUGCAACAACAAAAUUAGAGGACGUCUAACUUGUUUUUGCAGGGUAUGCUUGUGAUGUGAUAUGGCCAACGAUGUGAUGUGAUAUAUUGGAUGUAUGAGAUGAUCAUGUUGUAAUAGAUAAUAUCGACUUGCACGUCAAUGGUACGGCAACCGGCAGGAGCCAUAGGGUUGUCUUUAUACUAACGUUUCUGCUUGCAGAUGCGUUUACUAUUUUGCUAGGAUGUAGCUUUAGUAGUAAUAGCAUGAGUAGCACGACAACCCCGAUGGCGACACGUUGAUGGAGAUCAUGGUGUGGCGCCGGUGACAAGAAGAUCGUGCCGGUGCUUUGGUGAUGGAGAUCAAGGAGCACGUGAUGAUGGCCAUAUCAUGUCACUUAUGAAUUGCAUGUGAUGUUAAUCCUUUUAUGCACCUUAUUUUGCUUAGAACGACGGUAGCAUUAUGAGGUGAUCUCUCACUAAAAAUUUCAAGACGAAAUUGUGUUCUCCCCGACUGUGCACCGUUGCUACAGUUCGUCGUUUCGAGACACCACGUGAUGAUCGGGUGUGAUAGACUCAACGUUCACAUACAACGGGUGCAAAACAAUUGCGCACGCGGAACACUCAGGUUAAGCUUGACGAGCCUAGCAUGUGCAGACAUGGCCUUGGAACACAUGAGACCGAAAGGUCGAUCAUGAAUCAUAUAGAUGAUAUGAUUAGCAUAGGGAUGCUUACCACUGAAACUAUACUCAACUCACGUGAUGAUCGGACUUGAGCUUGUGUAAGUGGAUCAUGAACCACUCAAAUGACUAGAGAGAUGUACUUUUUGAGUGGGAGUUUAGCGAAUAAUUUGAUUAAGUUAAACUCUAAUUAUCUUGAACAUGGUCUAAGUCCACUUUGAAAAUAUUUGUGUUGUAGAUCAUGGCUCACGCGACAGUCACCCUGAAUUUUAAUACGUUCCUAGAGAAAGCUAAGUUGAAAGAUGAUGGAAGAAACUUUGUAGACUGGGCUCGUAAUCUUAAGCUAAUCUUACAAGCUGGGAAGAAGGAUUAUGUCCUUAAUGCUGCGCUAGGAGAUGAACCACCCGCUACGGCUGAUCAGGAUGUUAAGAACGCUUGGUUAGCACGUAAGGAGGACUACUCAGUAGUUCAAUGUGCAGUCUUGUAUGGCUUAGAACCGGGACUUCAACGUCGCUUUGAGAGUCAUGGAGCAUUUGAGAUGUUCCAGGAGUUGAAGUUUAUCUUUCAGAAGAACGCCCGGAUCGAGAGGUAUGAGACCUCCGAUAAAUUCUAUGCUUGCAAGAUGGAGGAGAACUCGUCUGUCAGUGAACAUGUGCUCAAAAUGUCUGGGUACUCAAACCGUCUAGCUGAGCUGGGGAUUGAACUCCCGCAAGAAGCUAUCACUGACAGAAUCCUUCAAUCACUGCCGCCAAGCUAUAAAGGCUUUGUGUUGAACUACAACAUGCAAGGGAUGAACAAGUCUCCCAGCGAGUUGUUUGCGAUGCUGAAAGUCGCAGAGUCUGAACUCCGUAAAGAGCAUCAAGUGUUGAUGAUGAAUAAGACCACUAGUUUCAAGAGAAAGGCAAAGGCAAGAAGGGUAAUUCAAAGAAGAGCGGCAAGCCUGUUGCCAAUCCGACGAAGAAACCCAAAGCUGGACCUAAGCCUGAAACAGAGUGUUACUGUUGCAAGGGUAUGGGUCAUUGGAAGCGCAAUUGCCCCAAGUAUCUGGCUGAUAAGAAGGCGGUCAAAGAAAAAUCAGGUAUAUUUGAUAUACAUGUUAUUGAUGUGUACUUAACCGGCUCUCGUAGUAGUGUCUGGGUAUUCGAUACCGGUUCUGUUGCUCAUAUUUGCAACUCGAAACAGGAACUGCGGAAUAGACGAAGGCUAGCGAAAGAUGAAGUGACGAUGCGCGUAGGAAAUGGUUCCAAGGUUGAUGCAAUCGCCGUCGGCACAGUUUCACUUCAGUUACCAUCAGGAUUAGUUCUGAACUUGAAUCAUUGUUAUUUAGUGCCUGCGUUGAGCAUGAACAUUAUAUCUGGAUCUUGUUUAUUGCGAGACGGUUACUCUUUUAAGUCAGAGAAUAAUGGUUGUUCUAUUUCUAUGAGUAACAUCUUUUAUGGUCAUGCACCCAACGUGAGAGGAUUGUUCAUAUUGAAUCUUGAUAGUGAUACACACAUACAUAACAUUGAGACCAAAAGAGUUAGAGUUAACAAUGAUUGCGCCAUAUUUUUUUGGCACUGCCGCUUAGGUCAUAUUGGUGUAAAACGCAUGAAGAAACUCCAUGCCGAUGGACUUUUGGAGUCACUUGACUUUGAUUCACUUGACACAUGCGAACCAUGCCUCAUGGGCAAGAUGACUAAAACUCCGUUCUCCGGAACAAUGGAGCGUGCAAGUGACUUGUUGGAAAUCAUACAUACCGAUGUGUGCGGUCCGAUGAGCGUGGAGGCACGCGGCGGAUAUCGUUAUUUUCUCACCUUCACUGACGAUUUGAGUAGAUAUGGUUAUGUCUACUUAAUGAAGCACAAGUCUGAAACAUUUGAAAAGUUCAAGGAAUUUCAGAGUGAAGUUGAAAAUUAUCGUAACAAGAAGAUCAAGUUCCUACGGUCUGAUCGUGGGGGUGAAUAUCUGAGUUUCGAGUUUGGUGCUCACUUAAGACAAUGUGGAAUUGUUUCACAGUUGACACCGCCUGGAACACCACAGCGUAAUGGUGUGUCCGAACGUCGUAAUCGUACUUUAUUAGAGAGGUGCGAUCUAUGAUGUCUCUUACCGAUUUGCCGUUAUCGUUUUGGGGUUAUGCAUUAGAAACAACUGCAUUCACUUUAAAUAGGGCACCAUCAAAAUCCGUUGAGACGACACCAUAUGAACUGUGGUAUGGAAAAAGGCCAAAGUUGUCGUUUCUUAAAGUUUGGGGAUGUGAUGCUUAUGUCAAAAAUCUUCAGCCUGAAAAACUGGAACCCAAAGCGGAAAAGUGCAUCUUCAUAGGGUACCCAAAAGAGACAGUUGGGUACACCUUCUAUCUCAAAUCCGAGGCAAAGUGUUUGUUGCUAAAAACGGAGCUUUUCUCGAGAAGGAGUUUCUCUCCAGAGAAUUGAGUGGGAGGAAGAUAGAACUUGAUGAGGUUGUCGAACCUCUCAUCCCUCUAGAUGGUGGCGCAGGGCAAGGGGAAACCUCUGUCGUUGCGACGCCGGUUGAGGAGGAAGUUAAUGAUGAUGAUCAUGAAACUCCAGUUCAAGUUUCUGUCGAACCACGCAGGUCAACGAGACCACGUGCUGCUCCAGAGUGGUACGGUAAUCCCGUCUUGUCAAUCAUGUUGUUAGACAACAAUGAACCUGCAAAUUAUGAAGAAGCGAUGGUGGGCCCAGAUUCCAACAAAUGGCUAGAAGCCAUGAAGUCCGAGAUAGGAUCCAUGUAUGAGAACAAAGUGUGGACUUUGGAAGUACUACCUGAGGGUCGCAAGGCUAUUCAGAACAAAAGGAUCUUUAAGAGGAAGACGGACGCUGACGGCAAUGUGACCGUUUAUAAAGCUCGACUUGUGGCAAAGGGUUUUUCACAAGUUCAAGGAGUUGACUACGAUGAGACAUUCUCACCCGUAUGGAUUCUUAAGUCCGUCAGAAUCAUGUUAGCAAUAGCUGCAUUUUUCGAUUAUGAAAUCUGGCAAAUGGAUGUCAAAACGGCGUUCCUUAACGGUUUCCUUAAGGAAGAGUUGUAUAUGAUGCAACCCGAAGGUUUUGUCGAUCAUAAGAAUGCUAACAAGGUGUGCAAGCUCCAGCGAUCCAUUUAUGGACUGGUGCAAGCAUCUCGGAGUUGGAACAAACGUUUUGAUGAGGUGAUCAAAGCAUUUGGGUUUAUACAAGUGGUUGGAGAAUCUUGUAUUUACAAGAAAGUGAGUGGGAGCUUUGUGGCGUUUCUAAUAUUAUAUGUGGAUGACAUAUUGCUGAUUGGAAACAACGUAGAGUUUUUGGAGAGCAUAAAGGAUUACUUGAAUAAAAGUUUCUCUAUGAAGGACCUAGGAGAAGCUGCUUACAUUCUAGGCAUUAAGAUCUACAGGGAUAGAUCAAAACGCCUGAUAGGACUUUCACAAAGCAUAUACCUUGAUAAAGUUUUGAAGAGGUUCAAAAUGGAACAGUCCAAGAAAGGGUUCUUGCCAGUUUUACAAGGUACGAGAUUGAGUAAGACUCAGUGCCCAGCAACUGAUGAGGAUAGAGAGCAUAUGAGCACCGUCCCCUAUGCUUCAGCCAUAGGUUCUAUCAUGUAUGCAAUGCUGUGCACUAGACCGGACGUUAGCCUGGCCAUAAGUAUGGCAGGUAGGUUCCAGAGUAAUCCAGAAGUGGAUCACUGGACGGCGGUCAAGAAUAUCCUGAAGUACCUGAAAAGGACUAAGGAGAUGUUUCUCGUGUAUGGAGGUGACGAAGAGCUCGCCGUAAAAGGUUACGUCGAUGCAAGCUUUGACACAGAUCCGGACGACUCUAAGUCGCAAACCAGAUACAUAUUUAUUCUUAAUGGGGGUGCGGUAAGCUGGUGCAGUUCCAAGCAGAGCGUCGUAGCAGAUUCUACAUGUGAAGCGGAGUACAUGGAUGCCUCGGAGGCAGCUAAGGAGGGUGUCUGGAUGAAGCAGUUCAUGACGGAUCUUGGAGUGGUGCCAAGCGCACUGAAUCCAAUAACCUUGUUCUGUGACAACACGGGUGCCAUUGCCCUAGCAAAGGAACCACGGUUUCACAAGAAGUCCAGACACAUCAAACGACGCUUCAACCUCAUCCGCGACUACAUCGAAGGGGAGGACGUAAAUAUAUGCAAAGUGCACACGGAUCUGAAUGUAGCAGACCCGUUGACUAAACCUCUUCCACGGGCAAAGCAUGAUCAACACCAGAAUUGUAGGGGUGUUAGAUUUAUUACAAUGUAAUUCGCAUGAUGAUGUGCGGGCUAGAUUAUUGACUCUAGUGCAAGUGGGAGACUGUUGGAAUUAUGCCCUAGAGGCAAUAAUAAAUAUAGUUAUUAUUAUAAUUCAUGUAUCAAGAUAAUCAUUUAUUAUCCAUGCUAUAAUUGUAUUGAAUGAAGACUUAUAUACAUGUGUGGAUACAUAGACAAAACACUGUCCCUAGCAAGCCUCUAGUUGGCUAGCCAUUUGAUCAAAGAUAAUCAAUGUCUUCUGAUAAUGAACAAGGUGUUGUUGCUUGAUAACUGGAUCACGUCAUUAGGAGAAUCACAUGAUGGACUAGACCCAAACUAAUAGACGUAGCAUGUUGAUCGUGUCAUUUUGUUGCUACUGUUUUCUGCGUGUCAAGUAUUUGUUCCUAUGACCAUGAGAUCAUAUAACUCACUGACACCGGAGGAAUACUUUGUGUGUAUCAAACGUCGCAACGUAACUGGGUGACUGUAAAGAUGCUCUACAGGUAUCUCCGAAGGUGUUCGUUGAGUUAGUAUGGAUCGAGACUGGGAUUUGUCACUCCGUGUGACGGAGAGGUAUCUCGGGGCCCACUCGGUAAUACAACAUCACACACAAGCCUUGCAAGCAAUGUGACUUAGUGUAAGUUACGGGAUCUUGUAUUACGGUACGAGUAAAGAGACUUGCCGGUAAAAGAGAUUGAAAUAGGUAUGCGGAUACUGACGAUCGAAUCUAUGGCAAGUAGCAUACCGAAGGACAAAGGGAAUGACAUACGGGAUUAUAUGAAUCCUUGGCACUGAGGUUCAAACGAUAAGAUCUUCGUAGAAUAUGUAGGAUCCAAUAUGGGCAUCCAGGUCCCGCUAUUGGAUAUUGACCGAGGAGUCUCUCGGGUCAUGUCUACAUAGUUCUCGAACCCGCAGGGUCUGCACACUUAAGGUUCGACGUUGUUUUAUGCGUAUUUGAGUUAUAUGGUUGGUUACCGAAUGUUGUUCGGAGUCCCGGAUGAGAUCAUGGACGUCACGAGGGUUUCCGGAAUAGGUCCGGAAAUGAAGAUUGAUAUAUAGGAUGACCUCAUUUGAUUAUCGGAAGGUUUUCAGAGUUAUCGGGAAUGUACCGGGAAUGACGAAUGGGUUCCGGGUGUUCACCGGGGGGGGCAACCCACCCCGGGGAAGCCCAUAGGCCUUGGGGGUGGCGCACCAGCCCUUAGUGGGCUGGUGGGACAGCCCAAGAAAGCCCUAUGCGCCAUAGGAAGAAAAAUCAAAGAGAAAAAAAAGGAGGAGGUGGGAAAAGGGGGAAGGACUCCUCCUUCCAAACCUAGUUGGACUCGGUUGGAAGGGGAGGGUUGCCCCCUAGGCUCGGCCGACCCCCUUGGGAGUCCUUGGACCCAAAGGCAAGGCUCCCCCUCCUCCCCCUAUAUAUACGGAGGUUUUAGGGCUGAUUUGACACAACUUUGCCACGGCAGCCCGACCACAUAUCUCCACGGUUUUACCUCUAGAUCGCGUUUCUGCGGAGCUCGGGCGAAGCCCUGCUGAGACAAGAUCAUCACCAACCUCCGGAGCGUCGUCACGCUGCCGGAGAACUCUUCUACCUCUCCGCCUCUCUUGCUGGAUCAAGAAGGCCGAGAUCAUCGUCGAGCUAUACGUGUGCUGAACGUGGAGGUGCCGUCCGUUCGGCACUAGAUCGUGGGACUGAUCGCGGGACGGUUCGCGGGGCGGAUCGAGGGACGUGAGGACGUUCCACUACAUCAAACGCGUUCACUACCGCUUCUGCUGUACGGUCUAUAAGGGUACGUAGAUCAAACAUCCCCUCUCGUAGAUGGACAUCACCAUGAUAGGUCUUCGUGCGCGUAGGAAAUUUUUUGUUUCCCAUGCGAUGUUCCCCAACAUUCCUCACUCCUGUUUAUCUUAUAAAUUGUGUUCCCAGUAGGGUCAUCAACAACCAAACCCCUCUAGGGCAUCUCUUUGACACAAAACCAUAUUACCCUUUUCUUCGUAUUUUUGGGUGUGUUGUGUGGCCCAACAUCCCUACGAUAAGCAUAAGCUCAAAUUUUGCUCCAAAUAGUGUUUUCUUGGACUACAGUUCCAUGCACAAAGGUUACAAGUGUCUAGAUAUUGCAUAUGGCCGGGUCUAUAUCUCACGGGGUGUGGUAUUUGAUGAUCAUGUCUUUCCCUUCUCCAAACUCCACCCAAAUGUCGGCGCACAACUUCGCAAGGAACUCAUUCUCUUGCCAUCUCAUCUUCUGCCAUCUCCCACUUUUCUAUCACGGGGUGCUAAUACUACUGAUGAUCACAUGUCCUUGUUGUUGGAAAUAUGCCCUAGAGGCAAUUAUAAAAUAGUUAUUAUUAUAUUUCCUAAUCCAUGCUAUAAUUGUAUUGAAUGAAAGCAUAGAUACAUGUGUGGAUAUAUAGACAAAACAAUGUCCCUAGUAAGCCUCUAGUUGCCUAGCUAUUUGAUCAAGGAUGGUUAAGGUUUUCUGACCAUACGCAAGGUGUUGUCACUUGAUAACUCGAUCAGAUCAUUAGGAGAAUGAUGUGAUGGACAAGACCCAAACUAUGAACGUAGCAUGUGAUCGUGUCAUUUUGUUGCUAUUAUUUUCUGCGUGUCAAGUAUUCAUUCCUAUGACCAUGAGAUCAUGUAACUCACUGACACCGGAGGAAUACCUUGUGUGUAUCAAACAUCACAACAUUACUGGGUGACUAUAAAGGUGCUCUACAGGUAUCUCCGAAGGUGUCCGUUGAGUUAGCAUGGAUCAAGACUGGGAUUUGUCACUCCGUGUGACGGAGAGGUAUCUCGAGGCCCACUCGAUAAUACAACAUCACAUAUAAGCCUUGCAAGAAAUGUGACUCAAGUGUAAGUCACGAGAUCUUGUAUUACGGAACGAGUAAAGAGACUUUCCAGCAACAAGAUUGAAAUAGGUAUUGAGAUACCGACGAUCAAAUCUCGGGCAAGUAACAUACCGAAGGACAAACGAAAUGUUAUACGGGAUUAUAUGAAUCCUUGGCACAGAGGUUCAACCGAUAAGAUCUUCGUAGAAUAUGUAGGAUCCAAUAUGGACAUCCAGGUCCCGCCAUUGGAUAUUGACCAAGGAGUGUCUCGGGUCAUGUCUGCAGAGUUCUCGAACCCGCAGGGUCUGCACACUUAAGGUUCGAUGACGUUUUAGUAUAGUUGAGUUAUAUGUGUUGGUGACCGAAGGUUGUUCGGAGUCCCGGAUGAGAUCACGGACGUCACAAGGGUUUCUGGAAUGGUCUGGAAACAAAGAUUGAUAUAUAGGAUGGUUUCAUUUGGUCACCGGAAAGAUAUCGGGCAUUACCGACAGUGUACGGGAGUGAAGAAUGGGUUCCGAGUAUUCACCUUGAGGGGCCCACCCACCCGGGAGUGAGCCCAAUAGCACCAGGGUGGUGCACCAGCCCUUAGUGGGCUCGUGAGGCCAGCCCAAGUGGGCUAUGGCGCAACAAGAAGAAAAACCAAAGGAAAAAAAGGAAAGAGGGAGGUGAGAAGGAAGGAGUGGACUCCUCCUUCCCCAAACCGAAUUGGGGUGGGAGUCCACCUCCUCCUCUCGGUCGGCGCCCUUGGGGCUCCCUUGAGCCCCAAGGCUAUCCCCUCCCCUCCUCCUAUAUAUAUUGGUGGUUUUAGGGCUUUUGAGACAGAACUUUGCCACGUGCAACUCAAACCUAUACCUCGUAGUUCUUCCUCUAGAUCGGAUUUCUGCGGAGCUCGGGCGGAGCCCUGCAGGAAUAGAUCAUCACCAUCACCGGCGCGCCAUCAUGCUGCCGGAGAACUCAUCUACUUCCACGUCUCUCUUGCUGGAUCAAGAAGGCGGAGAUCGUCAUCGAGCUGUACGUGUGUUGAACGCGGAGGUGUUGUCCAUUCGGUGCUAGAUCGGGACGGAUCGUGGGAUGCCGGUGAUUGGAAUCACGAAGUUGUACCACUACAUCAACCGCGUUUCUUAACGCUUCCCGCUUAGCGAUCUAUAAUGGUAGUGGAUCCGAUCUCCCUCUCGUAGAUGAACAUCACCAUGAUAGGUCUCCGUGUACGUAGGAAAAUUUUUGUUUCUCAUGCAACAUUCCCCAACACUUGUCUCAUGGUAAUACCUUUGAUGACAGUUUUGUCUGCAGAUGCCACAGCAGCCACAGAUGAUCCGGGCUCCCCACCCCGGUGUACAUCCUGGCGCCCCCUCCUCAGGAUCGGGCUCGUAGGGCGUUGCACGCGCUCCAGGGCGAUCUCAUGCGGGGUCCGCUCUAGCCCCUGAUUCGCCCGUCCGACGCACCAGUGGGCCAGGCGCCACACACCACGUGCCUGCGUCGGGACCAAGCGGGUCCCCCGCAUGUGCCUCCAGUAGGCCUGCUCCCGUGCCUGUUCAUGACGGACCCAGAUCCUCGGCGGUCGUUGUCUCCCAUGGGCCAUCCGCGGAUGGUGAUUCGCAGGUGCGCGUCCCACCGACUGCGUGGCCCCUGUCCUCCACUUCACAGGCGCCAAGUGGCAGUUCUAAAUAUGGCGUGGAUCCAGAUGGUGCUUCUUCUGGAGAGGAGCUGUCUGGUGCAUUCUCAGCGGCUAAUUUUGGAUCGGCUGUGUCUUCCUCGUCCAACCGGCUACAUCAACAAAUCAAACAGCCAACACCGCCUCCUCCUGAGCAUGCACAAACACGUUCUCAAGGAGGUAUUAUUAAGCCAAAGAUUUAUAAAGUUGGAUGCAUUCAUUGGGGCUCUUUUUGUGCCACAGGUGAACGGAAGAAUUUGCAUGACGCUCUUCUGACACCCAAGUGGAAGCAAGCCAUGGAUGAAGAGUACAUGGCACUCAUGGCAAAUAAAACACGGCGUCUUGUUCCACCUGUCACAUGCAGAAAUAUAAUUGACUGCAAGUGGGUCUGUAAGGUUAACAGAAAGUCUGAUGGUACUAUUGACAUCUAUAAGGCACGCUUGGUGGCUAAAGGGUUCAAAGAGAGGUAUGGCAUUGACUAUGAGGGCACAUUUAGUCCGGUGGUCAAAGCUGCUACCAUCCGGUUAAUUCUUUUAGUUGCAGUUUCCAGAAAUUGGUGCAUGAGACAACUAGAUAUAAAGAACACGUUUUUGCAUGAUGUUCUGGAAGAGAAAGUGUUCAUGCGACAACCUCCUGGGUAUGAAAAUCCACCAAACUUGAUAAAGAACUUGAUAAAGAAUUGUCUGCAAACUUGAUAAAGAAUUGUACGGGUUGAAACAAGCACCUCGAGCUUGGUAUUCUCGGCUAUCCACCAAACUUCAAUCUCUUGGUUUUAUUCUUUCCAAGGGAGACACCUCGUUGUUCUUUUAUCAUAAUCAUGGCAUCAUUAUUUUUAUGCUCAUCUAUGUUAGUGAUAUAAUUGCUACAAGCUCUUCAUCCAAAGCAGUAGAAGCCAUCCUCAAAGAUCUAGGCAGGGAGUUUACUCUCAAGUAUCUUGGCCGCCUACAUUUCUUCCUUGCGAUUGAGGUGCAGAGUGUUCCAAAUGGAAUAUCAUGUCCCAAGAAAAAUAAGUGCAGGAAAUACUUCAGAGAAUGGGUAUGCAAGGGUGUAAGCAAUAUUCCACACCGUUGUACACUUCAGAGAAGUUGUCCCUUCAAGAAGAAGAGUCACAUGGGAUGGUGGACUCAACCAGGUAUCGUAGUAUUGUGGAUGCACUACCGUACUUGGCAUUAACUCGCCCAGACAUUGCAUAUUCAGUGAAUAAAGUAUGCUAGUUUGUACAUACUCCCACUAGAUCACAUUGGACAGGAGUGAAACAAAUUCUUAGAUACCUCCAAAGAACAAAGGGCCAUGGACUCGGACUUGGGAAAUCUGAUUCAAUGCUUGUAAAUGCGUUCUCUGAUGCAGAUUGGACAGGUUGUCCUGGUGGCAGAAGGUCUACAGGUGGUUUUGCAGUAUUUUUGGGAGGCAAUCUUGUUUCUUCGAGUGCACGCAAACAGCCCACUGUGCCUAGGUCCAGCACAGAAGCUGAGUAUAAGGCCUUAGCAAAUGCAACUGCUGAGAUAAUUUGGGUUCAUAAUUUGUUGACUGAGUUGGGUGUCUACCAUCCAAAAGCAGCAUCAGUUUGGUGUGAUAAUCUCGGCACUACAUAUCUAUCCGUUAACCCUAUUUUCCAUGCCAGGAAAAAGCGUAUUAAGAUAGACUAUCACUUUGUUCGCAAGCGAGUAGCUGAGAAGUGGUUGAAUAUCAGGUUCAUACUUACUGGUGAUCAAGUUGUAGAUGGCUUCACUAAGCCUCUUACGCUUCGUCAGCUAGAGUCAUUUAGACACAAUCUCAACUUAGAUUGUUGUGAUUGAGGGGGAAAGUUAAACAACAUGUAAUCUAUGGUGUUUGUAUAAAUUGUAUAUGUAAGGUUUAAGUUGCUAGGUUGUUGAUUGUUGAGAUAGAAUCCUUGUGAAUCAAUCCACCCAACCAACCAUAUGUAAAUCUUACAUGUAAUCUCGAUGGCUUCAUCCUAUAUAACACGCAAUGCAUCCCUGCAACAAGCAUACGCUUAACCUACGUUUUUCUACAUCUUUUGGUGACGAUGAGGACGGCACCUUCAUCACUUUAUUCCUCCAUGAAGUCCUCAUCCUGGGGUUUGUCUCUUCUUUGCCGCAAUGUCAAGUGAUUUUUAGGUGAAAACUCAUGCUCACUUCCAGCGGGCAACGCUGACACCGAUGUCACUACCUUCUUGAACGUGCCACCUUGGAAUCCUUUGACAUUGUGUGGAGGCAGAUCUGUGCUUGACAUUGUGUGGCGGCUGAUUUGUGGAAGUUGUGUUGGAACUUGUUGUGGUCGAUGACGGUGGAUGCUGGGGUGGCGGCUCCGGACAAUGGAUGGUCACUGAGGCGGUGGCCUCAAAUAGCGAUGCAACAACGACUCUCCGUGGUUUUGCAUGGCUUGGGUAGCGACCUCGUGCUGCAAGGGUAGCGAGUGCAUUGGCUCGGUCAAUGCAAUUAGAGGGGUCGGUCUGGAUGGUAUGUUAGGACGGCGACCCUGAACUUUUGGCACACCAUUAGUGGUCUGCAGAUGGCCUUGUCAUGUAGCAAGGGCUAUAUAUAGGGUGUUCGUGGCAUACGGCGUUGUUGCUCGCGUGUGAGCAGAGGUAGUCGGAGCAGCGGAUCUAGACCCAGGGGUGCAUUUUGGUGCGACUGCAGCCUUAUAUCGUGUGGACCAUAGGGCUUCGUUGCUUGUGCGGGAUUUGGCCUAUUUUUUCUUACAAACUGGGCUGCCAUGUUUGGUUUUCGAUCCAUUUUUUCUUAUAAACUCAAACAAUUUNNNNNNNNNNNNNNNNNNNNNNNUAUAUUCAGGUGAGGAGUCUUUCUCCCUCGAUGACCGAUUUAGAAAAAACUAUUGUGGAUACGUCAUCGAUCACAAUAAGGUAGAUGUUGCUACACAACUGCACAUUAAAGACACAAACUAAAUCACUUUGAACAAAUAAAUAGUUUGAUCACAUGACAACUGCUUGAACUCUGAAACUCGGUACGGUUUCUCUCUCCACAAGCUUCCAAUUUCAGCUUGCUGCGUGGAAACAAUGAUUCUACUUCGCUUCUUGUUGUCGGGAAAGUACUUCUUAAUGCAAUGCCACUCCACUAUUGUGGAUCGGUCAUCAAUUACAAUCAGGUAGCUAUUGCUACUCCCUCCGUUCCUAAAUAUAAGUCUUUAAAGAGGUUUCAUUAGUGAACUACAUACGGAUGUAUAUAGACAUAUUUUAGAGUGUAGAUUCACUCAUUUUGCUCCGUAUGUAGACUCCUAGUGAAAUAUCUUAAAAGACUUAUAUUUAGAAACGGAGGGAGUACAUAACACCGCAUUAAAUACACGGACUAAAUCACUUUGAUUCAUCGUCUCCAUCUUGACCAAAACAUUAGCCCCAACGCUUGUUGCUUGUGCUACCUUUCCAACUUCAUCAUGGGAAAUUUCAUAGAAUUACCUUGCCAAGCUAUGCAAGAGCUCUUGUGAAUUAAACGGAUGCAUCAACCUAAUCGAAGCAUGGAAUUCAAAUCUUUCAAGAACCAUUGGGUGAUCAUAAACUUCCUGGAUGGCAGACGUCUUCCCGAGAUCACAGCUAGUUCCCCACAUGGAGAUCACCCUAAGGUUCACAUCAUGGAGGCACAAGUGGCUCUAUCCGUGGAGAUAAUAUUUUGAUCGUUUGAGUUUGUUUUCAUGGCACACUUAAUGCAAGAAAUAUUUGGAUACACAUAUGAGUUGUGUAGAUCUUUGCAAAAGCAAGAUGAAGAUAUUGUUCAUGUUAUUGAGCUUGUUGGUGACACAAAGUAUUACUUGGAGGCUUUGAGGACCGAUGCUGGAGGGAUGAUUUUCUCACAAAGGUCACAUCUUUUUGUACAAAGCAUAAGAUCAAAGUUGUUGAUAUGGAGGGUCCUUACUUUCCCGUUGGCCGUCCUAGAAGGGGUUUACGUAAUGGUGUGAACAAUUUCCACCGUUUCAAGGUGAUAUGUUUGUGGGUGUCAUUGAUAGGCAAAUUUGUGAGCUGAAUGGCAGGUUUGAUGAGGUAAACACGGAGCUACUUUCUCGCAUGGAAGCAUUCUGUCCACUUCAUCUAUUUGUUGAUUAUGACUAAGAGAAGUUGAUUAGGCUGGCUACAAAGUUUUAUGCUUCCGAUUUUAUAAGUGAUGAACUGGCAAGACUUCCAUGGUAACUAAACAUGUAUGUUAUUAUUGAGCGUAGAGAUGAAAGGUUUCAAAACCUGAAAAAUCUGUGUGAGCUUCCAGUUAUGCUUGUUGAGACAAACAAGCAUGAACAAUAUCAUAUUGUUUACAAUAUUCUUAAUUUGGUAUUGAUUCUGCCAGUAGCUACUGCUACUGUUGAAAGAGUAUUCUCUUCAAUGAGCCAUGUGAAGAAUAAGCUAAGGAACAAAAUGGGUGAUCAAUAUUUGAACAACUGUUUGGUUACAUUUGUUGAGAGAGAAUUUUUCAAUCAAGUGAAGGAUGAAGAUGUCAUGAAUCUCUUCCAAAAAGGCGACCGCAGAGUUAUAUUGUAAUAAGGAUAUCAUCACUUUAUCAAUCAAAAGGUACUUAUGUAUUCAUGUCGUUAUGGUCUGAUACAUUGAAAUAUUUCUAUUGCCAUUAUGCUAGUGUUGUUUUGUUCAUAUAUUGCUAGUGUUAUCUUAUUUGGUUCAUAUACUACAUUUAGAGAAAAAAAGGAUGAAUACCCAGCCUUCAUUUCCUGGCGCCGCCACUGGACGCCGGUGAGGAUGGUGAUGGGGACGGGACGGAACCCUACACAUGUGCAAACUAAAAAGUUAAUUUGAGCUUAAAUUGUGCGUCUAAAUCAAAUAAACUCACACAUACACUCCUCCACUAAAACCUACAAACCACACUAUUUCUAAAGCAUUUGAAAUGAGCUAAACUAGCAGUGAGAGAUCAAAGGAUGAAGAUAGUUGGUGCACUGCCAAACCUAGACAAAUAAUGGGAAAAAUGGAGCUUGCAUGUCGAGCUUGGAGAAAGAACAGAGAAGAAAGCUUAAGCGUGUCUUAGGCAUUUCAUCGAAGACCUCAUGUGCACAGAAAAUGAGAACAGAGUACAGCUCACACCUCCCACCACCUACGGCCAAAAAACAGAGGAGGCCGCAUGGGCCGGACGUAUAUAUAGGAAUCUUUUAGUCCGAAUUGGUGUCUAGAACCGGGACUGAAGAAUGACCUUUAGUCCCGGCUGGAGACACAACCUCUUUAGUCCCGGUUGGUGUCUCCAACCGGGACUAAAUGUCUCAGCCAAACCGGGACUGAUGCCUACGAGGCCCGGCCGGCGUCUUCGCCACUCCAACUGGGACUGAUGCUCCCUAUAAUUAUAUGUGGGCCCCAGCCUGACGCCAGCCUGCAACCAUACCUUUGGUCCCGGUUUGUAUCACAAACCGGCAUUAUAGUUACAAAAUGAACCGGGACUAAAGAUGUCCGUGCCCCCGACCGCUCCUAGACGUUGGAACCGGGACUAAUGAUCACAUUAGUCCCGGGCCAAAAUUAAACCGGGACUAAUGAUCCAAACGUAAGGUCUGUUUCCUACUAGUGAUUUAUUUCUACGCUGGAAGCAGAUCUGCCUGUCUCUAGUAGUCUAGUCUCGCAACACCACUCGAACCAUGCCACAUCGAUCUAUUUGUCUUGGCGCUAAUGCUAAAGACCCCUGUUUCCUUGUAGUUGGAUCUCCCACUUUUUGAAAUGUUCUAAAUCCCAAUUGAGCAUCCGAAUGUGGAUCAAUACCAGCAAAAACAUAUNNNNNNNNNNNNNNNNNNNNNNNNNNNNNNNNNNNNNNNNNNNNNNNNNNNNNNNNNNNNNNNNNNNNNNNNNNNNNNNNNNNNNNNNNNNNNNNNNNNNNNNNNNNNNNNNNNNNNNNNNNNNNNNNNNAAGCUUACCACGUUGGUGUCGGCAACAGAUCGGCGCGGGCGACCGACGACGGUGAUGGAGAAGGGACGGCACCCUACACAUGUGCAAAUUAAGAAGUUAAGUUGAGCUUAAAUUGUGCAUCUAAAUCAAAUAAACUCACACAUACACUCCUCCACUAAAACCCACAAACCACACUAUUUCUAGAGCAUUUGAAAUGAGCUAAACUAGCAGUGAGAGAUGAAAGGAUGAAGAUGCUAACCUUUUUAGAGCACUUAGAUAGUGGGUGCACCGUGAAACCUAGAAAAAUCUUGAAAAAAAUGGAGUUUCGAGGUCGAACUUGGACAACGAAUAGAGGAGAAAGCUUAAGUGUGUCUCGGGCAUUUCAUUAAACAGCUCAUGUGCAAAGGAAGUGAGAACAAAGUUCAGCACACACCUCCCACCACCUACGGCCAAAAAACAAAGGAGGCCGCACGGGCCGCGUUGGGCGGUUGGUGUCUGGAACAGGCACUCAAGAGAAUGACCUUUAGCCCCGGUUGGAGACACAACCUCUUUAGUCCCGGUUGGUGUCUCCAACCGAGACUAAAGGUCUUAGCCAAACCGGGACUGAUGCCUAACGAGGUCCGGCCGGCGUACUGCCUGCUCGAACCGGGACUGAUGCUCCCAUUAAUCCCGGUUGAUAUAGUACGACUGAAACUGUUGCUUUUAUCUGGCCAGAACUAAAGCCGUGUUUUCUACUAGUGUUAUCUUCGUGCUAACUCUUAAUUUUCUCUCUUGCAACAAUAAUAACAGAAGACACCGAUUUAUUUUAUCAUGCAAGCAGCUCUGCCUGUCUAUAGUAGUCUAGUCUCGCAACACCGCUGGAAAAAUGCCGCAUCCAUCUAUCUGUCUUGCACCUGCUCCCUAGCACCACCGGUCACGACCCGUUCCCUUCUUCGACCCGUCCCCAUCGCCCCGAGAAGCCAUCGGUGUACUCAGCACGAUGCUCGACUUCGGAUGCCGCCUGCCUCCCACCACCCGUAGGCGCCUGCCUCGGUCUCUGUUGCUCUCCUGUGUCGCCGCCUUCCCGUGUCGCGGGCCUACGCCUCUUCUGCUUUCCUCUGUCGGCGGCGGGGCUUGGUGUCGACGGAGCUGGCGGGGUCCAAUGGAUCCAGCGAUCGGACGAGGUUGGCGAGCUCCGGCGAGGCGGCGGACGGUUUGAGCUCCUCAGGCGUCGUUGGCGCGUCGGUGUACUCCAGAUCGAACUAUGUACACUGCAGUGUAAUCCGUUCUUGUGUAAUACGCUCAUCUUUUUAAACGGAGUAGUUUUGUUUUGGAUCAGCAAGUGAUGAUGAAUAUUUCUGUAUAGUGAAAUUAUUUCCUUCGUUGUUGAUUCUUGGAACAGCAGUGCUCACGGAUAUCGUGGUUUUCCUCGUCAGUUCGUUUCCCUCUGGACAACUUUGAUAUUUUCUAUAAAAUCUGGGGUGUUUUGCCGUCUGAAGUUUCUGUUGAUGAGGGCAGAAAAUGGGGGUUUUGCAGUCCAGGACUACCAUGGGCUGACGGCAAAAAGGACUAACGUCGUUUGUCCGGCUGGACGUUCCGUCUGGUACCAAUUUUUUGUCGUCUACCGAUCCUGCCAACAGCAAAAUAAUUUCACUAACGGCAUUUUUUUGCCGUCUGCUCUCGCAUACGUUGACGGUAAAACUACCCUUUGCGGGCAUGGUGGACGUUGGCAUUAUUUG
rnacentral:lncRNA from 1 species